CUCGCUCACCCAAUCGACUCCUUGUAGUAUCAGGGGAGCUUGAGGACCCCUUCUUCCUCAGUUCCGUUCGCCCGAUCCACCUCGGGUGCGAAGGGGAAUCCUUCGUGAGUAGCCCGUCUCCCUCUCCCAAACUCCGUCAUUGACACCCUAGAGCUCCGUCUCACCUGACCCGCUUGUCAAUUUGAUGUUUGUAGGCCCCUCUAGUGAGCUCCGACGACACCUGAAGCCUCCACCAGAGUAGGAGUUGCCAUCAGCAUGGUACUUGCUAGUGACCAACUCGACCACCCACCAACGCGGAAGGACGCCACGAACACGACUACACCAUCUCCUCCGCAUGGCUCACCGUUGACCACUGUCGGUAACCACCGCACCCUCUAUGUCCCACCACAAAAUGCAUAGCUGAAUUGUGCGGCCGAUCCGUCAGGGUUUUAUUCUUUUGUGUCUAUUAGAGAAAGUGUAUUUCUCCAUAGUGCGCUUUCUCUAUUAGAAGAUGGAGCGUACCGAACCGUUUUCUCUUUUAUCUAUUAAGCCCGUGGAAACAGUUUUGUUUAUUACAAAGAUUUCCCUCAUCUUGUAUCCUUUAUUAAUUUUUAACCACAAAAUUUUUUCCAGUGAUUCUUUUUUAGUCUAGUUUCUUAUAGUAUUUAUUUGAAUCUUUUUGGGAAAACUCUUUCCACGAACAUAAAAUUUAUGUAGAUACCUCGCUUUUAUUAGAGAAGUAAGGGGGAAACGCUGCCGGAGAUAUUGCGGGAUCAUGUUCUGACUAUGUUGUUCCACGCAAGCAUGUUUGAACCUUUGAGAUGGUGUUUUAUCAUAUGUUUGCUUAAGAACAUUCGGUAUCAUGUAGAGCAAUGGUCAUAACAAUAUGGUUAAUUAUGUUUCAUGCAUGGAUAUUUUCAUGAAAUAUAAAACCUUGAGUAGGUUACAUGAAGUAAUUUGAUGAACGCACCAUGUUGUGACGUGAAAGGUUUUGUCCUCGUCAUGUUGGAGCAUGCUAGUACGUUGAUAAGUUAAUCACCUCUGUGUUGGCAUAGAUCGAGUCUUGUCCUCGUAAUACCUAACAUUUUUAGUGCUUCCACUUGUUUUCUGCAAGGGAGUACAGUUUAGUAAGUCGAAAACCCAUUUCCAUGUACACACCAAAUAGAGGGGGUGUGCUGAGGGUUCCAUUGGCCUGGUAUAAUGGCUGUCAAGGGGCAUGGGUGUUUUCGGUUGAGGCCGAGAGGGGUACAUGUAACAGCCCAAGUGCAAUCCCUAUAACAAUAGCAUGAUGAACCUUGUAUGCCAAGACAAACUUGCUUUCACUUAAUAAGAUUUGAUGACUUCACAUUCACUUGCAUCAUAUCAUCAUACCAUCAUGGCAUUAAUUUUAUUUUAUUAUCCUUGUCGCUUAUGUUGUGUUGGAAUGGAUUGAUGUUUUGAUGAUGUGCUUGCAUCAAGUGGUAUGUUGUUGUGUGAACUCUCCCCUUCAAACUCCUUGAAAAUAACUCCCUCUCUCUUUUAAUUCAAUUAUGCAAUGUGGUGGUUUUCUACCUUGCCAUCACCUUCUUUAAUAAUGUUGCCAUGCUUGUAAAUAUUAUGAAUAGAUUUUUAAAACUAAGAUUGACAUUGUGCACCUCUACUCAUUUUGUAAAAAAACAAUGCCUUGCUAGAUUUCAUUAAGGUAAAUUUCCUUUUUGUUUCUUAAAAUGUCCAUUGUGUUUUAUAAAACACUUCAUGUUAUUGUGAGCCAUUGUAUAUUUUUACUUCACUCUAAAACCCUCCCCUUUUCUCUGGUUAUUUUGUUGCUCAAAAUGUUUUCAAUACAUAGAAAGCUUUCUGUUUAGGGACCGAGGCAAAGCAGACCAGUAGAGCAGCAACAGCCCACCAGCCAGCGCCAGUAGCCCAGCUCGCGUGCAGCCCUGCAGCAAGCCUCACGCGUGCAUGCGCCAUUCCACGUGGACGCCGUGAAUGGACCCACCUGCCAGUGACCAAAGCCAUCACUUUCACUAUGACAGCCCGAUGCCGACGUUCCAGAAGAUUCCCUUUCCUUUCCGUUUUCGUCGUGUGUCUAUUUUUUUCUUUUGUCGCAUCAUCAUCGCAUCAUGCGCAUCAUCUGCAUUGCAUCGGCAUCUCCGUUGCCGCUAGUUUUCAAACUUGCAUCCGCUAGUAGUUGCCGGUUCUCGUCGUUGUCCGUUCUGAGUCCGACCGCACAUGUAUGCGCCCGCGGCAUCGUCGUAACCCUAUUUUCGAAAGUGUGGUUAAACUUUCUCUGAUCGGGGAGCAACUUGGCAUGCGGUCGAAAUUUGUUUUAGUUAGGCCGCUUGUCAAGUUUCGUCGCAAUCGGAGUCCGUCUGGUACCCGAACGGUCGACCGUAGCGGCACCGUAUUUGGUCUAUCGUCGGACGUUUUCUGGUAUUUUAAAUCUCGUUGUUGGGCUGCCCGUUUUUCCUCUCAUCUCCGCCUAGCCCCUCUGCACAGUGCACCGACCCUACACGCAACCUAGUCCGAAAACCUACCGGAACCGGAAUCAUGUGUUCGUGACCGUUGGGUCCGGAUCGACCCCGGUUUACCGCAAACCGUCAUCGGUUUGUCCAUUGGAUCCCUAACCUAUUUAACUACGACUCUUCAAUUACGAUCGGAGGGUCCUGAACUAUUUUCUUUUCCUAUACUUUUGGACCAACCCUAGCCUAGGCAGACAACCCUCCUUGUUUUCCUCCCCGCGCCGCCAACCGUGUAUCCAAUUUCGUGCCCAACCAAUUCCCCUCCACCUCUGGAACCCCUCCCGAUCCAAAUCCAUCCAACAAGAGCCCCAGCCGACCACCGUAGCCAGCAGCCCGUUGGCCACCUUGCGCUGCAGUCCUUGGAUGUGUCCGGUGACCAGUGCCCGCAGCUCCUUCUUCGCGUGCUCCUGACACACCGCCCGUCAUCGCCAGUAGGCCAGGACCCCGUGUCGCCGGUGCCGAGCAGGAACCGACAAAUCUUGCAGCCACCAAGACCUGCCGUGGAUGAUCCUCGAGUGCCUCAAAUCGGGAGCUCGAGUCGCCCUUCUCGGAUCCGCGCCACCGCCGGAUGAGCAGACAAACUGCCCCACCAUGGUGCUCGUGAGGAGCUCGCGCCACCGCCAGGGACGCCUCGUCUGGCCAGCACCUCGCCGGAGGUCGGAACCGGCGGCCCCGCACCGCUAGGAGCCACUCAAGGCCGAGCCUCUCCCGUCCCCAUCUCCUUCCUCUCCUUCCCCAUUUCUUCUUCUGCUCUCCCUCUCUCUCAUGCUCCCCCUUUCUCUGUUUCUCUGAACAACAGCUGCAGGAGCCCCAUGGCUGCCGUCUCGUCACCGUUGGACCCCGAGCCGCCGGAAGCUUCUCCAUCCCCGGGAACACUUGAUGACUACUGUAAAAUCGAGCCCGUGCGAUCCUGUCCACGAAAAUAUCGAAUGGAAAUCUUUCUCAUGAGUUUGUUCUAGCUUGUUUCAUAAGACACACCCUUCGUUUUGUUGGAAUGUGGUAAUUCAAGUUGCUUUGAUGUCAAGUGGUGAUUUCAUAUCUUUCCUAAGAGGUGUUGUCAUAUUUUUAUGUGAGAAUGCAAAUUCUUUUGUUCGUUCAAUUGUCAUGUCAAUUCUUGUCAACCGGAGUCGUCAUGUUAAUUCUUUUCCAACCGGUGUGUUUCUCUUCAAGUGAAUUCCAUCCUCUCCUAUUUUGCAAGAUCAUUCUCUCAUUUUUAUUCCGGAGUUCAUCUCAUCUAGCCCAAGUUGUCUUUGUUUUCCCCACCCUCCCGCCCUUUUUCUCAGUGAUUCAAUUUUCAUCCAAGAGUUCUCUUUUCAUUCUUGCUCCCUCUAUCAUUUCUUUUCUCUCUUACCCGGUGAUUCGUUUUGAAGAUUCUCAGGAGCUUCAUGUUCAUCUUUAUUCAUUCUUGUCGUCCUUACAGGCGAAUUUAAUUUAACUAUCCGUGUCUUCAUAUGCUUGUCAUCUUUGUAAUUCUUUCCUAUGUUGGGAUUUUUUAUCAGUCUAUCUUCUUGUUGUCAUUUCUCUCUAUCCCAUCCGGAGUGCUGAAGUUAUCUCAGAAAUUCGUGUUUUCAAUCCUUCAGUUAUUUCGAGGUGCUAACCUCAUCUAGUUUAUUAUACCGGUGCAUUAUCUCUCUUUCUUGCAAUCUGUUAUAACAGUGAUUUCUUUGAGUGGGCCCAUAACCCACAGGUUGUUUCCCAGGAUCUUUCGUAGCUCUUUUAAUCUUUUUCCGGAGAUCUUUAAUUCUUUUCAACUAUGACGUAAGUAUGAUUUUCAUUAGUCAUAUUCCUUCUUCAUGAUCAAUUUGAAUUUAUUCUCAUAUUUGGCUCAACCUUGCAUUCUUCUUUAUUCCGGACUGUCUCAGUUAUUCUUGGUGUUGUUCCUCGUCAUCAUUCUCACCUUGCAAUUCAAAGGAGUGUUUCUCUCAGUCUUUUUCCAUUCUUGUGAACAUUGUCAUCUCAGCUUCGUGUUAUCCUCUCAUUUGUUGUCAAUCAUGAGUAAAUCCUUUCUCGCUAUCCGGUGCAUUUCUGAGUUGUUUUCAUUCUCGAUUCUCCGAAGGCCAUCAUUUCAGAAGAUUCUUCGUUCUCAGCUUUCAUCCUGAAUCUUCUCAAUUGUUUCCUCUUCGUUCGUAUCUCGAUUAUUUCGGUGCCUUAUUCAAGUUUUCUCUUAGGUGGCUCAUGAUCUUUUCAUUCUCUUGUAUCUCCAUUAAUUCUUGGUAUUUCCAUUCAAUUGUGAAUUCUUACCGGUGCGUCCGUCAAUUAUGCGUCAAGUGGUGCUUAUAUCUGUGUCUCUUCAAGAUUCUUUCAAGAGGAAUAAGUUGCAUGCUUAAUCCGUUGCUUGUCAUCAAUUUAACUUGAUGAAGGAUAAGCAUAACAUAAAUCUUAUUCUUGUUCUUAGUAAUCUGAAUUCUUCUUGCGGAGGGCUCAUGAUAUCAAUUCCUUUCUCUCAAGUAUGAUUAUCUUUUCUAUUCCCGAGUUCCAAGUUUUCUCAAGUAUCACUUUGUGAAGCUUCAUCUAAAUCUUGGCAAGGUCAUAAUCUUAUUCUUUUCUACCUUCAUAUUUUUGCAUCAUUCAUUUGUAUACGAUGGUCCUUCAUGGUGGUUCAUCAAGAUUUCAUUCUUUCUUAAGUGGUCUUCAAGAUUCUUGUUGGAGUACCUCAACUAUCCUUUCUCUUGCAUUUAUAGGUGCAAUUGUUCUUUCCUUAUCCUUGAGGUGGUCUUAUAGCAUUCUUGUUAGUGUAGGAGCCUCGAAGAGUUUUCCUUUCAAAAAUGAGAUAAUUAAACCCACCAAUUCUAUGAUCAUGAGAUAUUUUCAACCCAGGAUUUCUUCAUUGAGCUAUCUUGGUUUGGAUUUCACCUAAAGCUUUUCCUAUGGAUUGUGCUAUCAUGGUGCUUGUCAUUAAUCCAAAUUCUCAAUGUAUCCUCUUGGUGUAAGAAUUGUUCAUAUCUUGUUCUCCCAAUAAAUCCUUGUUUCUGGUAGUGGCUGGUUGUCACUUCAUUAGUUUGAAAAGGUUUCCAUAAGCCCACUACUAUCUUGUUCUUUUCGUUGUUGUUUUUCCAACAACUUCGUUCAAUUCUUCUUGCAAGAAUGCUUGCCAAGUUCAUUUGUGAUCUAGUUGUCAUUCUCUCUUCCUUCUCUUCUUCCGUAUGAGCUAGUCCCUAUUCUAUUGUUCCGGAGGCUUUGUGAUGUUGCUCUUUUGGGUCUAUCAUCUUGUUCUAUCAAGAUCAUGGUGUUCCCUUGUUCUAUUUACUUGUUUGUCGUGAAUAUUACCUAAUUCUUCCUUCUUAUCGAAUAUUUUUUGUCCCAUUUUCCUACCGAAGUGCUGCCGAAAUUUUCCGUGAAUUCUGGCUUCUUUCUCAUGUCAUUCCUCAUCUCCUUGCAACCUUCAAGGAUCGUUGGUUUCACUCGUUUGUCAAGAAGCGACUAAAUUUUACCUUGUUCUUUCUCAUCCUCUCCCCCUUUCAUUCUUGGAUCUUGGGGCAAGAUCCUCUUGUAGUGUAGGAGAGUUGUGACAGCCCGAUGCCGACGUUCCAGAAGAUUCCCUUUCCUUUCCGUUUUCAUAGUGUGUCUAUUUUUUUCUUUUGUCGCAUCAUCAUCGCAUCAUGCGCAUCAUUUGCAUUGCAUCGGCAUCUCCGUUGCCGCUAGUUUUCAAACUUGCAUCCGCUAGUAGUUGCCGGUUCUCGUCAUUGUCCGUUCUGAGUCCGACCGCACAUGCACGUGCCCGUGGCAUCGUCGUAACCCUGUUUUCGAAAGUGUGCGUUAAACUUUCUCUGAUCGGGGAGAAACUUGGCAUGCAGUCGUAAUUUGUUUUAGUUAGGCCGCCUGUCAAGUUUCGUCGCAAUCGGAGUCCGUCUGGUACCCGAACGGUCGACCGUAGCGGCACCGUAUUCGAUCUAUCGUCGGACGUUUUCCGGUAUUUUAAAUCUCGUUCCCGGGCUGCCCAUUUUCCCUCUCAUCUCCGCCUAGCCCCUCUGCACAGUGCACCGACCCUACACGCAACCUAGUCCGAAAACCUAUCGGAACCGGAAUCAUGUGUACGUGACCGUUGGGUCCGGAUCGACCCCGUUUUACCGCAAACCGUCAUUGGUUUGUCCAUUGGAUCCCUAACCUAUUUAACUGCGACCGUUCAAUUACGAUCGGAGGGUCUUGAACUAUUUUCUUUUCCUAUACUUUUGGACAAACCCUAGCCUAGGCAGACAACCCUCCUUGUUUUCCUCCCCGCGCCGCCAACCGUGUAUCUAAUUUCGUGCCUGACCAAUUCCCCUCCACCUCUGGAACCCCUCCCGAUCCAAAUCCAUCCAACAAGAGCCCCAGCCGACCACCGUAGCCAGCAGCCCGUCGGCCACCUUGCGCUGCUGUCCUUGGACGUGUCCGGUGACCAGUGCCCGCAGCUCCUUCUUCGUGUGCUCCUGGACACACCGCCCAUCAUCGCCAGCAGGCCAGGACCCCGCGUCGCCGGUGCCGAGCAGGAACGACAGAUCUUGCACCCGCCAAGACCUGCCGUAGAUGACCCUCCAGUACCUCGGAUCGGGAGCUCGAGCCGCCCUUGCCCGGAUCCGCGCCACCGCCGGUUGAGCAGAAAAACUGCCCCACCAUGGUGCUCGUGAGGAAAUCGUGCCACCGCCAGGGACGCCUCGUCCGGCAAGCACCUCACCGGAGGUCGGAACCGGCAGCCCCGCACCGCUAGGAGCCACUCAAGGUCGAGCCUCUCCCGUCCCCAUGUCCUUCCUAUCCUUCCCCAUUUCUUCUUCUUCUCUCCCUCUCUCUCAUGCUCCCCCUUUCUUUGUUUCUCUAAACAACAACUGCAGGAGCCCCAUGGCUGCCGUCUCGUCACCGUUGGACCCCGAGCUGCCGGAAGCUUCUCCAGCCCCGGGAACGGGACCCCCUCGCCCAGAUCCACGCCGCCUCGAGCUCACCCUGUCCCUCCUCUGCGUCCUCUCACUGUGGCCGCCGGCAUCUGUUUCCCCGAUGUGAGCAACUUCUGUCUGAAACUCUCUUUAUUUCUAGAUCCGUUCGGAUAUGGCAGGUUAAUUCCAGUAGCCUCUAAUUUCACCAUGAGCAAGUCUGUAGCCGAGUUGGCUAGCGCAGCCAAUUUCGAAGCAAGUGGACUGGGGUUUGAAUCCCACGUGUCCCUAUUUUAUGUUGUUGUUGUUUUCCUUUUUGAUCUGCACUUCACCGCGAGCACAGCGAGCCUAGUUGUUUUGUUUUUCGUCAGGUUCAUUGGAGUUGCUGGUUCAGUUAACUUAGCUAUGCUAUUUUCACAAGAAUAGUUGGCUAUCCUAGUGGUAGGCACAACACACACACAUCCAAGAGGUUCUGGGUUCAAAUCCCAGCCACGCAUAUUUUGUUUUGUGUUUUACAGUUUAGAGUCUCGGUGUGAUGCAUAUCAGGUAAAUACCCGCCUUGUUCCAAAGUCACUACAUAGCGAAGUGCUCACAUGUGUUUCAUUCAUUUGAUAGGUGCAGCGUUCUAGUCCCGGGCGAACACAAAUUUUUUUUGUGCCUCUGUUUUCCUCGAACGUUGUCACAUGCUCAUGGGCCUGAUAUGCUGCUCGGUGGCACUAUGCCUCCAGAUUCGGCCCACUUAUUUUUUUUCCAUGUGUCCCUCUGAAUUUGUCUAAUUUCAGUGUAGAUGUAUUUUUUUAAAACGCUGUACUUUUUAAACCGUGCGUCGGAUCACGACGAGUGAUAUAUGUAUAUCAUGUAGAAUUUCGCGUAGAGUAAUAUUUUCCAACUCUCAUGCAUGAUUAAAACCGUUAAGCUUGCUGGUUGCAUCGUUUCGCGUGACGUGCCGUGCUAAUACCGUUCUACCCGUAACAUUUGAUCCGUACCUCCGUUGGAGAUGAUCUAUAUAUGUAAAUCGAGUAGGACGAUGAGUAGAAUCAUGGGAAUCACUUUGUUUUACCGUUUAACAAACAUAAAAUGUGAUUAGGACAAAUCUGGACAGAAUUAGAAUUUAACGCAUGGGGUCAUUUCGGAGAUGCUAUAUGUCGUAUCGGGCCUCAUUUAAAAUGCCUAGAUAGGUAGAUUAAUUACGCUUCACCUCUUGCCAUGUUUAAUAACAUUUAAUAUUGCCGUGUAAAUUAACAGGAGUGAACUAAAUAAUUAAACGUGGAGUUUCGUCGAUAUGCAACCCGUUGCAUAUCGAGCUUCACUUAAUGUGUCGUGUUUGCGUGAGGUGAAUUGCCAUGCCAUCCCGUGCAUCGAUGAACUGAUCAUGCAUCAUAUUAGGGUAUGCAUCAUGUUAUGCAUCGUGUGGUGAAUAUCUGUGUUGAUGUUUGUUUCCAAUUUGCUCCGUCUCGAUAGGGUUCCGCAAGCGUGUCAAAAUGUGAGGACCCGUUCGACUACGUUGGUUUGCCGACUCCACCGAGUUGUUCUUGUUCAAAGCGGGAUCUCAGGCAAGAUGACCGUUUCCCCAGAUACCAUUACUAUCAUUGCCAUGCUAGUUUUACCGUUUCUACCGUUUAUGUCUCGUUGCCUACCACAUGUUAAAUAUCAGCCUCUCAACAAUGCCAUGAAACCUUCAACCUGUUCAACUUAGCAAACCACUGAUUGGCUAUGUUACUACUUGUUUAACCAUGUUGUUAGCGUUGCUAGUUGCAGGUGCAUUGCUUCCAUGUGAAAGCAUGGGUUCCUUGUUAUAUCACCAUAUUACUGCUAUUUAAUUUAAUGCACCUAUAUACUUAUUAAAAGGUGGAAGGCUCGGCCUUACUAGCCUGGUGUUUUGUUCCACCUUUGCCCUCUUAGUUUUCGGCUACUGGUGUUAUGUUCCAUAAAUGAGCGCUCCUAACACGAUUGGGGUUGUUAUGGGGACCCCCUUGAUAAUUCGUUUUAGAUUAAGAUUGGUCUAGCAAGGCCCAACUUUGGUACUACAUUUGCCUAAACACCUAAUAAAAUUGCAUAGGGACUUUCCUGACCCCGAGGAUAAUUUAAUCAACCCGGGGCCAGUGCUCCUCAUGAGUGUUGGUCCAAACUGGCAGACUACGGGGCCACCGCGGGGCAACCCGAGGUAUGGUUCUCCUAGUGUGACCCAUUCGUCGUGUCCUGAGAACGAGAUACGCGGCUCCUAUCGAGAUCAUCGACACAUCGGGUGGCCUUGCUGGAUUAGUUUUACCUUUGAUGAAAUAUCUUGUGCAUCGGGAUUCCGGUGAUGCUUUGGAUAAACUCAGAGUUGAGGUUUUCCACUAAGGAAUCCGACGAGAUUGCGAGCUUCGUGAUCGAGGGUUUCUAUGCGGCUUGUGGUAAUUUGUGAUGGACUAGUUGGAGCACCCAUGCAGGGUUAAAUCUUUUGGAAAGCCGUGCCCGCGGUUAUGUGGCAACGUGGAAACUUUGUUUAACACUUGUUCUAGAUAACUUGAGUAAUUUAAUUAAAAUAUGGCAACUGUGUGCGUAACCGUGACUGUCUCUUUCGUGAGUUCCUUCUCCGAUCGAGGACACGGUGGGGUUAUGUCUGACGUAGGUAGGUGUUCAGGAUCAUUCAUAUGAUCAUCAGUAGUCAUGUCCGUUAUGCGUAGAUCUUCCCUCUCUUAUUUCUGGUACUCGUAAGUGUAGCCACCUAAUAUAUGCUUAGCCGCUGCUGCAACCUCACCACUUAACCAUACCUCACCCAUUAAGCUUUGCUAGUCUUGAUACCUUUGGAAAUGAGAUUGCUGAGUCCCCUGUGGCUCACAGAUUACUACAACACCAGUUGCAGGUACAGGUAAAGGUUACUUGACGCGAGCGCGUUGAUUGUUCAUUUGGAGUUGCUUCUUCUUCCUCUUCUUCAUCGAUCUAGGAUGGGUUCCACGCCGGCAGCCUGGGAUAGCAAGGAUGGACGUCGUUCUUCUUUUCUUGUUUGUUUUCGUCCGUACUCAAACCGUGCUCUUACUCUUGAUGAUUAUGUAAUGUACUGAUGUGACUCUGAUGUAGCUUGUGGCGAGUGUAAGCCAAUUCUAUUAUAUCUCUUCUUUUCAGUACAUGUACUUGUAAUGAUAUCCAUUCUUGCGACACGACGAGAUGCGCUUCUAUCCCUGACGAGGCCUUCGUGCCAAAUUGAGGAUAGGGUCACAUCUUGGGCGUGACAUUCACCUUCUCGUGGUCCCACCUCUCUUAUAGUUACAGUUCACCGUGUCGGUGUUGCCGAGCCGCCGUGGCAGCCAGCAAGGGCCUAGCUCCCCUAUUUAAACCCCCCUCUGUGUCUGGGUUCCAUAGGGUUCCCUAUUCCCCUCUCGGCCAUCGCCAGGUGAGCUAGCCCCAUAGAUCUUCCUGAUCCGUCCCUCUACAAAGAGGGAGAGCAGCGAGCCCGUCAUCGCUGUCGAGCACUCUCGUGACCCCAUGUAGAAAAAGCAUCUAGGUGUUGUGCUUGUUCAUGCUUCUUCCACGACGUCCUCUCCUUCAUAGAGGGAUGUUAAGGCCAAGAGAAAUUGCCGUUCUUCUUCCUGGCUGCAGCUCGUCGCAGGCGAGCAAUUCGUCUCUGCGCUUCAUCCUCGAGCCGGAUCGGCUACACCAAGCCCCUCCUCGCGAGCAUCCGCGCAUCUCGUGUGCUUUUCCCACUCGGUUGCACUCUAUAUCAUCGUCGUUUUCGAGACCGAGCCUGCGGCUAUCAAACCUCGUCUCCGACAAGAUCUUAGACUUAAUUUUAUGUUGUGUAGGCGUUCGUUAGGAGUUCUUGUCGACGUGAGGUUCCGUUUUUGCCAUCAAAUAGAAGUUUUCCCCGCCAUGGAUAGCUAGUCAUACUCAUUGUUGCCGCCUCUAUUUCUUGUCGCCGGCAUCCAUCCGUUCAGCGUCAGGUGCCACAGAUGAGCGUGUGCGUGCAGAAGGAGGUUGUGGGAAGUUUCGUGCCUUCCGCCAUGUAUUAGGUCACUGGAGUAAGGCCGUCGUGGUCUUAUGCUGCCUACUUCGCCGUAGGUGGUUGCCUGAUACGUCUCCAACAUAUUUAAUUUUCUAAACUCUUUUCCCCUUGUUUUGGACUCUAAUUUUCAUUAUUUGAAUGGAACUAACCCGGACUGACGUUGUUUUGAGCCGAUUUGCCUUGGUAUUAUUUUUGUGCAGAAAUAAAAGUUCUGGGAUUGACCUGCAAAUUUACGAAGAAUAAUUCUGGAUUUAAUGAAAAAACCGGCAAAAUAAUCUACCGGUGAGGGGCCACCCCCAGGACACGAGCCUGCAGGGCGCCCCCUAGGUCGCGCCCCCUGGCUUGUGAAGUCCCUGGAGCUCCACCGACCUCGUUUCUACUCCUAUAUAUUCCCAUCCGCGGAGAAAAAAAUCAAAUAGAAGACUUCAUCGCGUUUUACGAUACGGAGCCACCACCACCUCCUGUUCUUCCUCGUGAGGGCAGAUCUGGAGUCUGGUUUGGGCUCCGGAGAGGGCAAAUCGACGACGCAUCAUCACUAACCAUCCCUCAUCACCAAUCUCAUGAUGCUCUCCAUUGUUCGUGAGUAAUUCCAUCGUAGGCUUCCUUGAUGGUGAUGGGUUUGAUGAGAUCUAUCAUGUAACGAGUUAGUUUGGUUAGGGUUUGAUCCCUAGUAUCCAUUAUGUUCUGAGAUUGAUGUGGCUAUGACUUUGCUAUGCUUAAUGCAUGUCACUAGGGCCCGAGUGUCAUGAUUUCAGAUCUGAACCUAUUAUGUUUCCAUGAAUAUAUAUGUGUUCUUAAUCCUAUCUUGCAAGUUAUAGACACUUAUUACGAGUUAUGAUCCAGAUCCCCUAGGGUGACAAUAACUAGGAUUCUUUCCCAUAAUUACUGUAGUUUGAGUAGUUCAUGUAUUCACUAAGUGCUAAUGCUUUGGUCAAGUUCCCUAUUAAAAGGAGGCCAUGAUAUCCCUUAGUUUCCAUUGGGAUCCCGCUGCCACAGGAGGAUAGGACAAAAGUUGUCAUGCAAGUUCUUUUCCAUAAGCACAUAUGACUAUAUAUGGAAUACAUGCCUACAUUACAUUGAUGAAUUGGAGCUAGUUCUGUAUCACCCUAUGUUAUUACUGUUGCAUAUCCAUUUGACAUAAUUAUCCAUCACUGAUCCAUUCCCUAAGAGCUUUCCACAUAUUGGUCUUUGGUAAGUUACUUUUCCGUUGCUACUAUUACAAUCACUACAAAACUGCUACUGUCACUUUGCCACUGUUAUCGUUACUUCCAUAUUACUUUGCUACUAAACACUUUGCUAUAGAUAUUAACUUUUCCAUGUGUGGUUGAAUUGACAACUCAGCUACUAACACCCGAGAAUAUUAUUUGGCUCCCCUUGUGACGAAUCAAUAAAUUUGGGUUGAAUACUCUCCCUCGAAAAGUGUUGCGAUCCCCUAUACUUGUGGAUUAUCAUUGCCUCUGUAGUGUGCCGUGUGAGUCUCUGUUUCAUGGGCCUUGCCAACUAUAGGGUGGAGCCAAAUUACUAGACCACCCCAUCUGGUCAAACCAGAGUCGCCAAGCCAGCUGGCUAGCCAUGCCAGUCAACACCAUGAGGUAUCGGGUUUGACCCCCCCAUGAGCCCCUUUUUCAUUUGUGUGAUGAUAUUUGGUGUGAGGAUGACAGCGGGUCCUUGGGCCCGCUUGUCAUGCACUCAAUGACCCUCGUGAGACAACCAAUGGGACCCCUGACCCCGUGUAAUUAUAUGUUUUGUUUUAUUUUUACUUUCGUGGAUGCUAAUACGCCAUUUAGGGCAAGUUUACAAAUAUGGGAGUGUCCAAUUCGGGCAUAUGCCAAAUCUAGAAUGUACUAGCAUUUACCUAGUUGUUUGUAUUCUUUUAGGUUUGUGGCAUGAUUUCCUAGUGUAACCUAUGGUUAAGAUAUAUGAUUUUUGGUAGAUUAAUGCAAGGAAUUCACGUGUGGCAUUAGUUUUGUAUUUUCAUCAAGUUGGGAUGCAUGAUAUUUUCACCAUGAUGGCCUUUUUAUUAAUUUUGUAUGAAGCAUUCCUUGCACCCAUUGGUAAAUUUGUCUACAUGAAAGUUGUAGCUUGUUUUUGGGGUACUAAGACGUGGUAUUUUGCUUGCUAUGAAAACCUUGUCUAGUGGUGGAAUUCUUGUUGUCAACAUACUAUGUCAUUGUUGUUGAAUUGGUAGGGUGAAAUAUGACCAAGUGAGAAAUAUGUUAUCAAAUAGUUGUGUUUCCAUGUGGAUUGCUAAGUAUCUAUAGGCUCUCUCAAUUUUUGUUAUAUCAUCGUUGCCUUAAGUACCUUGCUGUGAGAGUUCCGUGGGAUCCAAAACCCGGCUUGCAACGUUCUUUAUAUGCAUUUGUAUCGUUUUCUCGUGAUGCAUUCAUUUUUGCCUUGUUCAUGCAUGUCCAAAUAAUUAAACUUGAGGUUCUUUCCAGGAUGAUAUAACUAAAUAUUUGCAUGAGAAAGAUGACUAGUGUAGCAUUACCAUGCUUCAUUCACAUCAUACUUAUCCAUCAUAUUGUUUGAGAAUCGUGUCGUGGUUGUGUGUUCAUUGGAUGUUGUAUAUUCUGUUUGGUAGCAUUGGGUGCCGAGUACGAGUAUGAGGAUCCUGUUGAGAAUGUUCCUACAGAGCAAGAGUUCUAUUCCCGAGAAGAAGAGCCAGGCAAGAUGAUCGUUGACCUUGAUACCCUUUCUAAUUUUAUUAUGUCUACUUGUCUCGUUUCUAUUGUUAAUUAUCGCUUCCUACCACCUGAAUAUCAAGCCUUCCAAAAUGCCAUGAUAAGCCUCUAACGCUUCCACUUCCUAACAAUCAUUAAUUGGCUAAAUUAGCACUUGCUCAAACCUUCUUAUAGUGUUGCUAGUUGUAGGUGCAGAGUGAGCCAUGUGUUGCCAUGGAUAUUUGGGAUAUCAUCUUAUUAUUGCUAUUUAGUUUAAUGCACAUAUAUACUUGGUAAAAUGUGGUAGGCUUGGCCUUUUGCUCGGUGUUUUGUUCUGCUUUUGCCGCCCUAGUUUCUAGUUACGAGUGUUAUGUUCGAUAUUGAGCGCUCAUAACAUGCUUGGGGUUGUUAUGGUGAUCCCCUUGAUAAAUCAUUUUGGUGUAAAACUCGUAUGGCAUGACCCAACAUUGAUACUCCAUUUGCUAAUAAACUUAAUAUAAAAAUACUCCUCAUGAGUGUUGGUCCAAACUAGAGCAUCGUGCGGGGCCACCUCGCGGCAACUCGGGAAAUUUCUAUUAGGCCACCGUGCGUUUCGCUUAUCAGACGUUUCUGGAGAACGAGAUAAGCAGCUCUUAUUGUUGGGGAACAUAGUAAUUUCAAAAAAAUCCUACGUCACACAAGGAUCUCUCUAUGGAAAACCAGCAAUGAGCAAAUGUGUAGAGCAUCUUCAUACCUUUGAAGAUCGCUAAGAAGAAGAGUCGUACUCGCAAUGAAUCAGAUCACGGUGGAUUUCGAUCUAUGCACCGAACGACGAUGCCUCCUCGUUCAACACAUGUGCAGCCCGGUGAUGUCUCCAAUGCCUUGAUCCAGCAAGUAGGGAGGAGAGGUUGAGGGAGAGAUCGGGAAGCAUGACGGCAUGGUGGCGGUGGAGCUACGUGGUACUCCGGUAGGGCUUCGCCAAGCACUACGGAGGACGAGGACGAGGAGGAGUAGGGCUGCGUAGAGAGAGAGAGAGAAGUUGUCUCAAAUCAGCUCCAAACCUUCCAGUAUUUACAGGAGGAGAGGGAGGAGGGUGCCAACCCACUGGGUUUCCCACCCUAAGGGGUGCGGUAGGCCAUCUAGGGCAAUGGGCGACGGCCAAGGGUGGAGAGGUGGUGGCGCCCUAGGGUGGGCUAGCCCACCACGCCUAGGGUUAGCCCACCACCCUCUCUCAUGCGCCUUGGGCUGCUAGUGGUGGCGCACGAACCCACAUAUGUGAUGAUUCCCAUCCACCUUUUGGCCCAAAUACCCUUCCAUGGCUGUUGGCCCUUCCCAGUGGACCCUGGCACCCUUCUGGUGGUCCCGCUACAUUAGCACUGUCGCCCAAAACAAUUCCGGCGACCAAAUCCUCACUUCCCAUAUAUGAUUCUUUACCUCCGGACCAUUCCUGAACUCCUCGUGAUGUCCGAGAUCUAAUCCGGGACUCCAAACAACCUUUGGUAACCACGUACACUAUUCUCCUAUAACCCUAGCGUCAUCGAACCUUAAGUGUGUAGACCCUACAGUUUCGGGAAGCUUGCACACAUGACCGAGACACCUCUCCAGUCAAUAACGAACAACGGUGUCUGGAUAUCCAUCUUGGUUCCCGCAUGUUCCACGAUGAUCUCAUAAGAUGAACCACGGUGUCGGGGAUUCAAUCAAUCUCGUAUGUAAUUCCCUUUGUCUAGCGGUAUGAUACUUCCCCGAGAUUCGAUCAUCGGUAUCCCUAUACCUUGUUCAAUCUCGUUACCAGCAAGUCUCUUUACUCGUUCCGUAACAUAUCAUCCCAUGGAUAACUCCUUAGUCACACUGAGCUCAGUAUGAUGAUGGAUUACCGAGUUGGCUCAGAGAUACCUCUCCGUCACACGGAGUGAGAAAUCCGAGUCUCGAUUCAGACAACCCAACACACACUUUUGGAGAUACCUGUAGUGCAUCGUUACAAUCACCCAUUUACGUUGUGAUGUUUGAUACACCCAAAGCACUCCUACGGUAUCCGGGAGUUGCACAAUCUCAUAUUCUACAGAAAUUUUCACAUUAGAAAAGAUUUAGCAGACGAACAACACGAUCUAGUGCUAUGCUUAGGAUUGGGUCUUGUCCAUCACAUCAUUCCCCAAUGAUGUGAUGUCGUUAUUAAUGACAUCCAAUGUCCACGAUCAGCAAACCAUGAUCAUCAAUUUAUCAACGAGCUAGCCAAUUAGAGGCUCAGUAGGGACACACUGUGAUCUAUAUAUUCACACAUGCAUUACGGUUUUUGGUUAAUACAAUUAUAGCAUGAAUAAUAGACAAUUAUCAUGAACCAGGAAAUAUAAUAAUCACUACUAGAAAACAGUUUUUAGCCAUCUGCCUAGUCUUUGCCGUCUGCUAGCUGAUGGAAAAGAGUGUCUUUGCCGUCAGCUUCAGCAAAACAGACGGCAGAGCAGAGGCUGAUGGCGUAAAGUCUUUUUGCCAUCUGCCACAUCUUUGCCGUCUGCUAGCGGACGACAAAGAGUCCAGAGGCAGACGACAAAGAUAUAGAUAGGCCCACCUGACCGCGGGGUGGCUAGGUCAAACUGGAUUCGGACCUUUGCCGUCUGCUAGCGGACGGCAAAGAGUCCGGAGGCAGACGGCAAAGAGUCUAGAAUGUUUGUCGUCCGCUGGCAGACGACAAUGCUCUAACACCAUUAACAACUCCUUCCCCCCACCCCGCCACUCUCUCUCUCUGUAACGGUCACCCCGCGCGCCCCUCUCUCUCUCUCCCCACCCCGCGCGCCCCUCUCUCUGUAACGGCCGCCGCCCCUGUCACCCCCACUGACGCCCCUGUCGCCCCUGCCGCCGCCCCUCUCUCUCUCUCCCCCACCUCGCCCCCACUUCCACUGCCCCACCACCGUCGCAUCGCAGCCCCUAGCGCCGCCGGCGCCGCCCUGCCACCCCAACACCCCGGACCCUCCAGAGCUGCGCCUCCCAGUGAGCCCCCCACCCGCAUUAUUUUUUAGUAGUUUUAUUAUUUUAGUAGUUUUAGUAGUUGUUAUUGUUAGUAGUUUUAGUGGUAUAUUUAGUUAGGUUAGUAGUUUUAGUUAGGUUAGUUAGUUAGCUUGGUUAGUUAGGUGGAGGAGGAGAAGAGGAGAAGAGGAGGAGGAGGAGGACAAGAAGAGGAGAAGAAGAAUAGGAGUAGGAGGAGGAGGAGGAGGAGAAGAAAAAGAAGAAGAAGAAGAAGAAGAAGAGGAGGAGAAGAAAAAAACAUAAGAAGGAGAAGAAGAAGAAGAAGAAGAAGAGAAGAAAAAAAUAAGAAGGAGAAGAAGUAAAGAAGAAGAGAAGAAGAAGAGAAGAAGAGAAUAAGAAAAAAAAUAAGAAGGAGAAGAAGAGAAAAAAGAAGAAGAAGUUGAUUUUUUAUUGUUUGGUAUUUAGUGGUAGCUAGAUUCUUUUUUAGUUACUUAGUGGUAGAUUCUGUUUUUGUUAUAGUGGUAGAUUCUGUUUUUGUUAUUUUUUUGCUGUUUAGUGCUAUCUAGGUUUAGCGAUAGGUUUAGUUAGCUUGGUUAGUUAGGUUAGUUAGUUAGUUAGCUUAAUAGAAAGAAUAGGAAGAAGAAGAAGAGGAGGAGGAGGAGAAGAGGAGGAGGAGGAGAAGAAGAAGAAGGAGAAGAAGAAGAAGAAUAGGAGCAGGAGAAGACAAAAAUAAGAAGGAGAAGCUGAAAGUGCGUUAUAUCAACUAGAGGGGGGUGAAUAGGAGAUUUUUAGAAUUUCAUCACCGAGGAAAUUCCUUUUGAGGAAAUUCCUCACUGAUGACUAACUUACAGCGGAAACAGUAAAGGAUCAGAAGUGCGAAGUUUCACAACAGCAGUUUUUCGGAGUGACGAAUGUGAAAACAGAUUGCACUGUGAGCAGGCACGCAGAAUACAGAUGAGGAUUAACUGACGUGAAGAAUUUGGGGUUGAGGAAAUUCAGAGAAAGUCUUCAGCAAAUUCUUCAAACAGUCGCAGUGAAAGUCAUCAACAAAUAAUACGAGGAAAGUAAGGAGUUGAGGAAUUAGAACCCGUUUCUCAGUGAAGACAGUCGUUGAUGACCCAGUUCCAACUGCUGUGACAGUCGUACAUCUGGUUUGGAGCGGCUUGGUAUUGAAACCAAAGGACACACGGUCCCGGGACGCACAGUCCCUACCAUGUUCUCCUUGGGCUAAGAACACAGAGUCCUCGCCCAACACUCGUGGUAAGUCUUCAGGGCAGACUUCCAAACCCUCAGAAACUUGGUCACCCGGCGAUCCACAAUUGACUGCUGAAAAGCUCUAGACCAUGACGCCUAACCGUCUCGAGGAUGCACAGUCCUCAAAGGUAAUAGGCUUCAGUCCCACACUGGAACAACUUCUUCAGUGAUGCUCAAUCACUAGGUUUGGUUUGUGGUUUCGGUGUAUGGUGUAUUUCCUCACUGAUGAAUUACUCUCGAAGACUCUGAGGAAUUGGGUUGCUCUUAUGACAAGUGUCAGUUUCUAACGAAGUAGCCAACCAGCUAAUGGUUGUGGGGGGUGGCUAUUUAUAGCCUGGGAGCAUCCCGACAUGAUUUGACACUAAUGCCCUUAAAUAAUAUGACCGUUGGAGUGGAUAAGACCAAUGACUUGGCGUGGCUAUCAAAAUGGUCGGAACCCUCAACUGUGAGAGUCCUCAUGUCACUCGUACUCCUCACUUGAGGCUUUUGGUAGGAUUAGGCUUGGGUUGAGCAUCAUGAGGAAAUUCAUUCCAAAGUGUAACUUCGACCCCCUUUAACAGUACGGUGUUCCUAUUACUCAAAUGUGAAGAAAAUAAAACAGAAAGAGUAAAUCUUCAUGCUUCAAAUUCUUCAAAGUGAUUUUCUUCAGGACACACCGAAUUCCUCAAUUUCAGUAUCUUCAUGAGGAAUAUCAAUUUCAUCACAGAUUCCUCGCGAUUCAUUUCUUCAGCUUCAGACCAAUUUCUUCAACCGAAGAUAUACAUUUUUAGGGGUCGAUAUUCUUCAAAUAUCUCAAACUCCUCAAUGACUUAUAGAUCCUGUGUACACUCAUAAACACAUUAGAUGUUAACCUAUAAGUCUUCAAACCACCAAAAUCACUAAGGGGCACUAGACGCACUUACAAUCUCCCCUUUUUGGUGGUUGAUGACAAUUAGGUUAAGUCUUCAACAGGGAUAAAAAAUAUGAAGUGUAAAUACUCAUUUGAGGAAUUUGAAAUCAAGAUUCAGAGAGACUCCCCCUGAAGAUGUGCAUAUCUUGAGGAUUUUGCUUUUCACAGGAAAUGCACAUUGAUGAUUUAUAUCAUGGAGAUCUCCCCCUGAGUCUUGUAAAUCAUGCAUACAUGUAACAUAUCAUGUGAAGAAAAUGAAAAUGCAUGAUGACAAAUGGUAUCUGACGAAUUCCAGCAUGCGUGCAUUAAAACUUGAGGAAUAAGCAUGCGAAGAAAAACGUUCAAAAGCGUCAGAGUACCAUCAGGCUUAAGUUACAACUCAUUACAUAAAAACUUCAGAAGAGCCAAGAGUUUGUAACUUAAAUAUAGUUUAUAAGCCCCAAAAAUAUCCCGCUUGAAGACUAACUCUCAAGUUUCUCCCCCUUUGUCAUCAAGUGACAAAAAGGGACAAACUAAGGACUAACGCCCGUGAAGACUUCACUUCUUGGCGGUUGAGGAAGAGCCGUGAUGCUUCUUGGGAGUAGUCUUCUUCCUUGGACCGGUAGCAGUGUCGAGCUAUUCUUCAUCAGUUUCGCAGUGCGGAAUGAAGAAAAGGAGCUGUCUUCAAGGUCUGGAACUGGAAUGGGCCUGAACUUCUUCUUGGGAGGCCACGACCAUUCAAAGUCUCGCUCAAAGUCCAUUUCUUCAAGCUCAGUCUGAGUCUUCAGAUGUGCAAGUGUAGCCAGGUGCGAUCAAAAACCUCAUGCAGAUAAUGAUGGUUGAGCUACACAGAGUUCUGUGUUUCAGUGAGGGUUUUCACAAUGGCGCCAAACUGGCGUUUGACCCACUUGUGAUUGCGAUCCACCUUCCGGUGAAGACUGAGGAGGAGCUCUCUUGUAUUCAUCACACGAGGAGGAACGGGGCUUGCCGGACGAGUCUUAGUAUCAUCCCAUGAAGAAUAAGCUUCUGGCUCUCUGAACUGGCCGUUAAGGGGCCUACUGCCUUCUUCAAUCACUGAUUUGCCUUUUCCUUCAAUGGGCUCGAAAAUCUUCUUGUUGACCCGGAUAGGAGGCAUGUAACCAACAUGGUUUUGGAAAUCAGCGUGGAAGUUGAUGCCUGUCCUUGUCCUGAUGAAUCUCUUGAUCCAUGGGGCAUAUAUUUUGUGAUCAAAAGGACACAUAGCAUUGUUGGCUAAAGUCCUCAAGAAGAAAUCAUGGAUGUUGAUAGGAAUACCAUAAAUGAUGUUGAAGAGGAUAUUCUUCAUGAGGCCUACGACAUAUUCUUCAUCAUCAUGGCCUUUGAUCGGCGCGAGCGCACUGCAGAGGAUUUUGUAAAUAGAUCUGGGUGUGUACUUGAGCUCGUGGACGAGGAAGGUUGUUCUCGGAGGUUUUCCUUCAGCCAAAGGCUUCAUGAGGACUUCCAUCAUCCCAUUGUGCAGCUCACGCUCACCAUAAAGUUUCACAGCCUCAUCCGAGGGAAUUGGUACAGGCAGUUCACGGAGGAGUUCAGUAGCAGGAGCCUUGUAGUGAGUGUUUUGUGUCAUCCAAUCAAACACCCAAGUGUUAAUGUCUUCAGGGUUGCCGGAUAAGUGAAGAGUGGCAUAGAACUGAAGAAUUAGCUCGCUGUUCCAGUCAGAGAUGUCAGAGCACAUUGGUAGUAAACCAGCAUCAUGGAGUAUACUAAGGACUGGCUCGAGGCACGGUAUAGCUUCAAGUUCAACGUGAGGAAUAUGCAUGUGCUGGAAUAUAUUGUUUCGUCCACAUAGCACAGAGGAAUAGUAAUUCAUCUGUGUCCUAGUCCAAAAAUUUAGAUGCCUCAUUUGAGGCUUGUCAUAGGGGUUCUCUCCAAUGAAGUACAUGCGUUCUUCAAAGAAAUUUUCCUUUUGAAACUUUGGACGCUUGGAGAAUGGCUGACGCUGAACUGGCUGAAGAUUUUGCUGAGGAACAGGAGGGGAGACAACAAUGGUAGUCUCUGGGUUGAGCACGACGAAUGCAUUGUCUUGGUCAGGUGCAUUUUUCUCAGCAUUUUCCUCAGGGUGAGGAAUUUCAGCAGCUGGUACUUCAGACUGAGGAGAUGGUGUUGGCUAGGCGUCAGGCUGAGGGGCUUGCUCUAGCUGUGCAUCAGGCUGAGGAAUAGCUUCUUCUUGCUCAGUUGGAGGAGUUGGGUCAGCCUGUUCCUCAUCUUGAGGAUUUUUCUCAGAGCGUUGAAUUUCAUCGUCUUGAGGAUUUUCAUGUUGUUCUUCCUCAGCUGGCUUGGUGGCAGAGGCAGUUUCAUCAGCUGGUGCAGCUGAUCCUUGAGCAGUGUCUUUCUGAGGAAUGAAGGGCUCAGGACUGUCGUCUAUAUGAAUUUCUUCGUUAGUGUGUUCCUCAGAGGCGGCAUCCUUCAUUUCCUCAUCUGCCUUUUUCGCUUGAUUAUCAAUGAUGACCAUUUCAUAAGACGGAGCGAUAUUUAAGGGCAUAGGGUCCAGAGGAGCAGUUUCUUCAAGUUCUAUGAGGCGCUUGGCCUCGGUUUCUUCUUCUGCUGAGGAGGCAUUUCUCUUUUUGGCUUGCUUCUCAGCAGCCCUGGUUUUCUUCACGUCUGAUGCAGAUGGAGUUAUCUUCUUCACCUUUGAAGCUUUUGGUGAAGGGGUUCUCUCGACAGAUUCUUCAGCUGGUAUGGAGGAACUAGCUGGAACAGAGUCAUCAGCUAGCUUUGAUGAAGCAGCUGGGUCAGGGGCAGUCUCAUCAGCUGCAACAAAUUCAUCAGCUCGAGCUUCCAUGAUGAUUUCUUCAAUAGCCGGUACAUCUGCACGGCUUUCUUGGUGUACUUCCUCUGCUUGAGGAGUUUCCUCAUCAUGAGGAGAUUCGUCUGUUGGCUCCUCAAUCAAGGGCUGAGAAGUUGGUGCUGGGGGUGCAGCCUUCUUGUUGUAGUCAUCAACAGCUUUAGUGGCCAGCUUGAUGAAAUUGCUCUUGAGACUCUUACGAUCUGACAGCUUGGAGUACUUGUCAGUCAAUUUCUUCAGCUCUGCCUGUGUUGAUACCAGUGCUUCAGGAGUCAAGUUGAGGAGAUUCUGCUUGAGAAAUUUCUCCUUUUUAAGCUUUGCAACUUUGGCCUGCUUGGCCUGCUGUUCUUUCCACUUGGCUUCAUUGAUGAAAGUGGCCACCAUGUGGCUAAUGCCAGCGGAGAGUUUCAAAUCAUCAAGCGGAGUGUUUGGGUCCUCAUACCAUAUGUUGAUGUAGUCAAGGAGGACCUUGGGGUCCAUGGCCAGAGGAAUGGCACUGCCUGAUGCUUGAGCUACUCUUUCCUGCUUGUUUCUGAUGAUAGCUUGCAGGGUUUGAUCAUCAUAUUCAUCACUGCCCUCUGAUGAAGAUGGGACGGUGAUAAUUUUGUUGGGGCUUGGCAGAGUUGCAUGUUCAGCAGACACCUGAGUCUUCAUAGGAGGUGGUGAAGACUUUGUCUCCGAGCUGGUUGCAGCUGGGAGUGAGGAGCUGGAGCUGGCGGUCAUAGGCUUCAUGACUUGCUUCUGUACUGGUUUCUCUUGAGGCUUUGGUGGUGGUGGUUUUGGUGCUGAGGGUUUUGGUGUUGAUGGUUUUGGUGCUGAGGGUUUUGUAACUGAUGCCUGAGCAGACUUCUUUUCAACCUUUUGAGCCCUUGUCUUUGACGGCACAGACUGCAUUUGAGGAAUUUCUGAACCAGAGGUCUCAGCGGCAAAGGAAGUAGCAACAGCUGAGGGAGCAGCUGAGGAUUCAUUGAAUUUCCUCACUGCAGCUUCUGCCUGCUACUUGAGCUUAGCCAGAUGCUUUUCCUUCUCAUCUGGAUAGUCAUCAAUGGUCUUGAGGGUUGAGGGAUGUGCUACUUGAUGAUCCUCAAGUGGGGCCCGUCUGCCAGGGGGCUUUAGAGGGAAUUUCUUUCCAUACUUGGCAAUCACAAACCUGUAUUCCUUCCAUUCCUUCGCCCAUCGGCGUUCUAUCUUCUGCAGUCGUAUCUUUCUCUUGGCCAUUGUCUCAUUUUCAUCAGGUGUGCAAUAGUCCAAGUAAAUAUCCUUAGGGAUAUCCACACGUGUGUUUUUCUCUAGUUUCUUUCCUCCCUUCUGUUUUCUGUCAUCCUCCAUUUUCUUCAGCUGAGUAUUUUGCUGAUGAGAUUGAACUCUUGAGGAUUCUGAUGAGACUUGAAGAUUUUCUUCCAGAAACGCUGCAAAUGAGUUAAUGUGAUGAGAACCGAGAGAUUCAUCAGCUGACAUGUGUGUACCUGUGAACAGAGUAUAGUUGCGAGGCAUUUGGAGAGGUCAUAUGCGUUCUCAGAUUUGAAGAAAUUGAAAAAGUUUGACAGUUGAGGAAUAUAACCAGUGGUUGAGGAAUUUGCCUAAGCAUACUGUUCUUGGGUUCCAGAGUUGUACAGAUCCGAAAAUUCGCACAAUUGAGGUAUCUCGUGGAAAUCUAAGAUUCUUAGUAUAGUUCAUCAAUGAUGUGGUGAUAGGCAGUGUUUGAGGAAUCAAGUCCUUAUCGAUUCUUGAGGAAAAAUAGAUUUCACAUAAAAGAUGUAAAAUUUGUAGAUCUAACUUGCGGUAAAAAUGGGAUUUUAUUUACCCUUGAAGGAGCACACGAAGAACACAGAGAAGUUGUGUAGAGAGGCUCUUCGGUCGCGUGUCCAAUGCACCCUAACCCAGCGACAAAGGACGUCUACGGCGGCGGCAGACGAAGAUGGUCCGACUCCGGCGUGGUUCCGACGACGGAGAAGUCGAGGCAGCGAAGCUCUUCCUCACCGGCGACGAGACUACCAGCGAUGGCGCUAGGGUUCGGUGGUGUUUGCUAUAGCAGGAGAACGAUGGAGCGAAGAAGAGUUUGCCGAGGGGGAUAAGGACAUAUUUAUAGACAGACAGUUAUUGUUGGCACAAAGAUUUCGGACCAAAUAACCCCUGCCUCUACGUCUCCGCAGGCCACGUGUAGUUCCUGAACGAGGAGGUGGAGAUAGUGGAGAUCGCGGUUAUCCGAUCGUGGGAAGUGGGGUUCAGUUACUGUGCAUUAAAGAAACAAUUUUUGAAGAUUUGAGGAUUUUUGUUACAAAAUCAUCAGCUGACAUGGACGCAGUGAGGAUUUUGAACAAAGUUUCAAGUAUAGCGCAUAUGAAUAAUUGAAUAGACUGGAUGAGUAUAGCAUAGAGGGAAAGUAGAGUCCGAUCACAUUCACUUAGCAGAAAUAUCAACUUGAAGAAAUAGCUAUAAGUGAAUGUUGUUGAGGACUUGAAAUCACAGUCUAUCUAGUCAAAUGAAAGUCAUCAAGUGUGUUUGAAGAUUUUGUGAUGAAUCGUCACAAUGAAGAACAACUGUUUUGAAGAAAAACGCAAUUUGAGGAAAUGGAACAUUUGAAGAAAAUCAACCUGAGGAAUUUCACAUUGGGCGGUGGCGUGACCCACCAUAUAAGAAUGUUGAUUACAGACGCCGCGUACAAUUGUCGUAGGGCCCUGAGAAUGAGUGACAUUCUUCAUCAGUUGAAGAAAAUUGAUUCAUCAUGUGUUGCACAUCUAAGUCAUCAAUUUUGCAUAAGUGUUAGGAUGUGUGCAUGUUUUUACAAAACAUUUGAAGAUUCCAAGAUAUUUAGCUCACACCGCAACUUGCAAAACCUUUUCUCAUCCAAGGGCUUAGUGAAGAUAUCUGUCAGUUGACACUUUCCAAGGAAUUUAUUAUUUGACAACAAAAAAUAAAUUCAUUUUUUUAUUUCGGGACUGGGCAUCCCUAAUACCUUUGCCUUAGUCUCAUGCAAUGACAAGUGAAUAGACACUCAUUGUGAGAAUAACACAUCUAGCAUGGAAAAUAUUGGCCACCCCUCACAGACUCGUGAACGGUAGACCACGCAAAAGAGAAAUUUAUUUUGAAAAUUAGAGAUGGCACAUGCAAAUUUGCUUAUAAGAGUAUGCAAAUACCGCAUAUAGGUAGGUAUAGUGGACUCAUAUGGCAAAACUGGUUUCAAGGUUUUUGGAUGCACAAGUAGUGGUAUUGGGGUAUUUAUAUGGCAAGAGGCGGUGCAGGAGGCCAACGAGGAGGACACAACAAAGCGGGGCACGCCUGGGCCCCCAGGUGCACCCUGGUGGGUUGUGCUCCGAUCGGAGCUCCCGUGAGGUGCGUUACUCGCCCACUGGAUGUCUUGUGACCCAAAAAAUCCACAAAAAGUUUUGCUGCGUUUGGACUCCUUUUGGUAUUGAUUUCCUGCGAUGUAAAAAACAUGCAAAAAACAACAACUGGCACUGGGCACUAUGUCAAUAGGUUAGUACCAAAAAAAUGAUAUAAAAUAACUAUAAAAUGAUUUUAAAACAUCCAAGAAUGAUAAUGUAACAGCAUGGAACAAUCAAAAAUUAUAGAUACGUUGGAAACAUAUCAGGCAACAAAUCACAAGAUGGAUUAUGGUUUCACACCAUGUAAUGGCUCGAACCUACGUAGCUCAUGUGUCCAUGUUGUUCCGGUGAGGAGGGGUGAGCUCACCGUCAACUUUGAUGUGUUUGUCAUCGUGAUGCAAGUCUCAAGAAAAGCCCCCAAUGUUGGAACCUCGUUCUUGGACGCAGAUUCUAGACUAUGACAAAGUGCCGGCUCAUGAGAUCCUUCACGGCCCGCCUCUGCUACUCCUUCAGUCUAGGAGUCUUCUCCCACCCACUAAAUUGAAUCAAGAGCUUAAAACACCAUGUAUUUCUUGAUCAAAUUUGAAGUGUUGGCAUUCGUGGUGAAACUUUGCUUACAUGGAGGAAUUAGCUCCACGGGGGUUGGCUUGGGCAGAUCCAUGCGUUUCCCCUCUUCAGAAUAACCUUCUUCAAAUUUAGUCAAAUCCAACUCUCCUGCAUUCUUUGUCUCUACUACCCUGAUCUCUUUCACACAAUUUAGAUAAUCUUUUUCAGUGAAGGGUGUAUUGUCUACAUUGAACACAGGGAACCCGGCUGGCAGAAGAGCCGGAUCCAUUUCCAGUUGAAAAGCCUUUGCUCGCGUCAACGAAGACAUCACCCCUUGUCAGCAAUUACUUUCUUUAACAGUUUAAUCCACUCUGGAAUAGUGGAGAGGUCGUCAAGCAUUACCGUAAUAUACUAAGGUGGCACGUUGGUAUUUUUUAUCGCGAUCAUAUACCUAUCGCCACCUACAUAGAGUUGAUCAUAUAUUUUAGAGAACCUUCAUCUUCAAAAGAGGGAGCUCCACAACAUUAUGAUUCUUUUUGCCUGUUAACAAUACAAAUUAGCAACCCGACUAAAAUAUAUAUACAGAAUAAUUUGGCGACUCAAAACUGGGAAGAAACCGAUUCUUACCAAAGAUGGUUUUGCACUUGUCAGUUAGGUGACCUUUCAGUAUUUACAAUUCUUGUGUCACCGGAUUGAGUUUUGACUCGGCCUCCUCCGUGCAUUUUAGUAGGGCAGUUGUUUCUUCAUUGAAGGUAGAUUUAGUUUUGUCAAGUGUGCUUGUGCAAACCAUAAGAGACUUUUACUAGUGCAGAAAUGGCUAGCCACAAAUCUUGUUCGUGGCAUGCCAUUUCUCACCAACGCCAACACUAAUAUAUUCAAAUAGUGAUGGCGUUGUAUAAAUUUGUACGUUAUAGCUAAUCACAUCCUGGUGGCAACUUCAGCCGAACACCAUUUGUAUGAGGACUCCCUCGCCCUCUCCUUGUGUAAAUUAUUAUUGGUGUGACCAAUGUUCCUACGCGAGUACUAUGGACUGUACUUGUGUCGUAUGCCAUAUGUAUAUUUUGUGGGGUCCGCAAAUAUUCUGGUGGCAUUCCUAAAUGUAGACCACCAUAACUAUUUGCAUUUCUCUCUCUCUAUAUAUAUCUAUCCCCUGGUUAAUUAUAUAGUAGGUCUCUUCACAGUAAUGUCAUAUAUGUGUGUAUACAUGACAAACCGGCAUCCUCUUCCUUCGAUCCAUUGAGUAGUCCUAGUAGGCUCUAUAUCGAUUAUUUGCUUUUGUGUAUAAUAUCCUCAAGAUAUGCAAUGCCCAAUAUAUUUUCGAGAUAAAUAUUCUAGCAAAUGCAUAUGUGUUGUAAUAUGUAGAAAUUAUUUUCACCAUUUUUUGUAGGCACUAUGGAAGUAUACGACUCAUAUAUAUAUAUAUAUAUNNNNNNNNNNNNNNNNNNNNNNNNNNNNNNNNNNNNNNNNNNNNNNNNNNNNNNNNNNNNNNNNNNNNNNNNNNNNNNNNNNNNNNNNNNNNNNNNNNNNNNNNNNNNNNNNNNNNNNNNNNNNNNNNNNNNNNNNNNNNNNNNNNNNNNNNNNNNNNNNNNNNNNNNNNNNNNNNNNNNNNNNNNNNNNNNNNNNNNNNNNNNNNNNNNNNNNNNNNNNNNNNNNNNNNNNNNNNNNNNNNNNNNNNNNNNNNNNNNNNNNNNNNNNNNNNNNNNNNNNNNNNNNNNNNNNNNNNNNNNNNNNNNNNNNNNNNNNNNNNNNNNNNNNNNNNNNNNNNNNNNNNNNNNNNNNNNNNNNNNNNNNNNNNNNNNNNNNNNNNNUAUAUAUAUAUAUAUAUAGGGUGGGUCUAUUCUUAUAACAUCCCUUAAGACCUUAUUCUGCUAACACCCACGCUUAUUCUGCAAACCACCACCAGAUCGCCGCCGCCCCUCCCCUCCCUGCNNNNNNNNNNNNNNNNNNNNNNNNNNNNNNNNNNNNNNNNNNNNNNNNNNNNNNNNNNNNNNNNNNNNNNNNNNNNNNNNNNNNNNNNNNNNNNNNNNNNNNNNNNNNNNNNNNNNNNNNNNNNNNNNNNNNNNNNNNNNNNNNNNNNNNNNNNNNNNNNNNNNNNNNNNNNNNNNNNNNNNNNNNNNNNNNNNNNNNNNNNNNNNNNNNNNNNNNNNNNNNNNNNNNNNNNNNNNNNNNNNNNNNNNNNNNNNNNNNNNNNNNNNNNNNNNNNNNNNNNNNNNNNNNNNNNNNNNNNNNNNNNNNNNNNNNNNNNNNNNNNNNNNCGCCCCUCCCCUCCCUGCCUUCUAUCACGACAGCGGCCUGGGAGCGUCGCCGCCCCUCCCUCCACGCCUUCUGGCGCGACGGCGGGCUCGGGGCACCGACGCCCCGCCCCUCCCCGCCUUCUUCCAUGCCAGUAGCCUGGCAGCCCCGACGCCCCUCCCCUCCCUGCCUUCAUCUGCGACAACAGCGUGGGAGCUUCUCCACCCUCCCCUCCCGACAUCAUUCUGCGCCGACGGCAUGGUGCGAUGCCGCCCCUCCCCUCCUGGCCUUCUCCCGUAGCGAUGGCCUAUGGACGCAGUCGCCCGUCCCCUUCCGGUUUUCUCCCGUGGCGGCGGCCUUCCCCCGAUUGCAAAUUUCCCCUCUUCCAUGUCAGCAGCUCGGUGGCGCCGCCGCCAAUCUCCUCCGGGCCUUCUUUGACGGUGUUGAGCCCUGCGUCUCCAAUUACCUGUCCUUCAUCAGAUGUGGAUUGGUGCUGCCUCGACAUAGCACCAAUUUGAGAAAGGAGGACUGUGCCCAAGGUUCCUUCAUCCAUACCAACUUCUUGGGUAAAGGCUACAACGACCUACAAUGCAAAUCCUCCGUCUCCACUCACCUUGAGCAACGUCCAAAACAUUCAUGAAUUCCUGAAGGGAAACAUGAAUACACAGUUGAACACAAGAGUGCUGCAAACGAAUGUGAGGGGAACUUCCUCCUACAAAUGCAAGAAAGCACUGCAACACAAGGUAAGCACUAUACUUCUUCACGUAUCUCGGUAUACUUAUUCUAGACAAAGUAGUUGAUACAGUCCAGUACAUCGACAAAAACGAAGCAGUGCGGUUACUUCUCCUCACCAUAAUAAAAAUUUCAGUGUAGUUGCUCGAUUAUGUAGUACGGUUGUAUAUGUUCACUAUGGAAAAUGACACAGUGCAAUUACUUUAGUUCACCCUGCUCGAUGAUGCAAUCCGUGUGCAUUAGUUUGCAGUGCCCUCUUAAAGAAAAUGCAGUUCGUAUUAUUCAGUUUGCUUUACCUGACUAUGCAGCUCGGCCAUUUUGUGCAGGAAAUGACGUUCACAACAAACAAAAUGCCGCACUUAAUUGACAACCCAGGAACCAUUAACUUUCUGAAGAGUCAAGAUUUUUCCACAAGAGACACUAGCUGGAUUACCCCUGAGAUACCUCGAGGGUUCUUCAGGACAACAAACAAGGUGAAAUACUCUCCAGAAGAAGAUUUCUUCCAGGAGCAAGAGGUAGUCAAAGAUGGCAACAAUGUCACCAUCAUUUAGCAGGGCGCUCACCAACAUAAUGAUGAAGAUGAUGACGAAGAAGAUGAGCGAAUAACAGUUCUCAACCCAUAGUACAAGCACGAGUUCACUAUAUUUGGACAACAUGUCUGAACAGACAACAAUGAUGUUGUUGACCAUGAUGUUGCAGAACAUGAUGAUUAUGAUGAUGUGCCGCCGCUCCAGCAAUUUCAAACGAAUCAUUGAUACACCACCACAACACUAGAUUACCACCGUGUCCACCUGCUGCACCACAAAAUAAAGCUCAGCAUGCACCUAUUGCACGACCAAAAAGAGCUCAGCGUGCACCUGCUGCAUCGAGAAACAUAGGUAUGAAUGCACCUGCUGCAAGAAGUGCAACACUACAACCACCAAGGGUGCCUCGAUCAGAAGUCAACGGCAGGUACAAGUCCUCCUCACUACUGCCACCACGAGAUACUAAACUACACAGAUCUUCUAUAACCCCACCAUGUCCAAUACAACCCGACGAGCUGCCAACGCCAUCGGAUGAAUGACAUUACACACAUGUAAGUUCAUGUCCUAAAAAAAUAUUAUUUGCAGUCCAUUGAGAUAACAUUGCACUACACACUGACAUUUAAUGUGAAGUUUGCCCUAACAUCUAAUAUAGUCGAAUCUUCUAAAAACUUAGUAACAUUGCAAUGCUUUCUUAACUCGUAUGCAGUCCUCGUAUUUUAACAAAACAAUGCACAUUAUCUCAUAGAGAAUUUCAAUUGAUGCAGAGUGUGGCAGAUUAUGACCAGAAACAUGAGAAGACAUCCAAAGGGAUUGGCUGCAAGGCAAGAAUUAGAGUCGGAAAUAGGAAGAAUGUGACUUUUGGGAUAGAAAUGGUUGAGGUCAACGAAAAUCACAAGAUGCUAGAAAACUGAGGGAUCCUUUUGCACAUGCACUCACACAAAUGAGACGAUCCUUUCAUUGACUAGUUGGUGAAGGACAUGUAACUGGACAACCACACACACGCACAAAAUGAUAGCAAUGUUGUCGCAUAUCUCCAGUGGUGUGUAAUUCAUGGGACAUACUAGUCGUGACUGUUUCAACAAGUUAGCAUAACACAGAGCAUAUCGCUUGAGAAUUCUAUGGGUAAUUAUUUCCUGUUUUAUAAGAUGAGUUUGCAUUGCCUUUGAAAUGUAGGAAACGGAAGUUUGGUAGAGAAGAGUCUCAAGAUGACGUCAAGCAACUUAUGGAUUUCUUUGAGAAGAUGAAGAAGAUCAACCCAGAAUUGUCCUAUGAUUACGGGUGUAUGCCAAUAAUCGUGUAAGAAACAUCUUUUGGGCCAACACAAGUUGUCGAGGAUCAUACGAAGAUUUCGGAGACUGCAUUACAUUUGGAACAACAUAUAAAACUAACAAAUUCCACAUGCCGCUGGGAGUCUUCGUGGUAGUAAACCAUCAUCUACAGAGCAACAUAUUCGUUGUCGCCGUUAUGCAAGAAGAAACAAUACCGUUGUUUGAGUGGGUUUUCAAAACAUUCUUGAGGUGUAUUAACUACAAGCCAUCAAUUUGCAUGCUCACAGGUACAAAUACAACACCUAUAUACUUAAGUUUCUUUAGGACACUUAUAUUUCUUCCGUCUUUCUUACACAUAAACUAAUUAAUAAAAGUACAAUACUUGUGCCUCUCACACCAAUGUUCUUGGAUGGCGGAAGCAUUAAAAACUAGCUUCCCAGAUACAUUGCAUAAGUUGUGUCGGUCGCACAUUCUGAAGAAGUACAAAGACCACCUCGCUUUGUUGUAUAAGUCGCACGAUAAAAUCAAGGAUGAACUCACUAUGGUGCUAAACCACCCACUAAUGUCGUCAGAAUUUGAAUGGUCAUGGACGGACCUCAUGUGGAAAUACAACUUGCAAAACGACAAAGUGAUGAAUUCGCUCUAGGAUGACAUGCACGAGUGGAUCUCAGCUUACUACAAGGAAAUUUUGUAUGCUCGGAUGACUUCCACGCAAAGAAACGAAAACAUGAAUCGUAUAUUGGAAAAAAAACUUCGUCAAAGAGAAUCAUGAUCUCCAUCUGUUUUCUCAACAGGUCGACAAGUGCAUUUACCCGAGGAAGGCCGUCGAGAACGUAGAGACAGUUGCAACUGAGGUAAAAUAAAAUGUCCACAAAAACUGCUAAAUUACUAUAAAAACAAACAAUAUAUUAAGUUCUCCCAUUCGUAAAACUUAAUUGCUGAUCAUGCAGUCCGAGGUAAAGACAACAACCAAGUUUGGGUUCGAAGUUCAGCUGUCGAAAGUAUACACAAGGGUAGUUUUUGCAUAUUUAAAAGAAACACUCUAUCGCAGCACUACAUUCAGAGCAAAACAAUGCACUUAGAACCCAAAAAAUUACCACCUACACCACUACAAUAGAUCGGAUGCAUUUGAUUGGGCAAGGCAUGAAUGCCAUGUGGUCACCGACGAAAAGGACGGUGUCCAUGAAUGUGAAUGCAAACUCUAGACACACACAAGUGUGGCUCGCUAGCACAAAAAAUCUUAAUUUCUAAAAGUUAUGCAUGAAGCUCACUUACUAAAAUUUAAAACCAAAAGUGAAGUUCACUUCCUCAAAAUGAACAAAUAACAAAAAAAUCUAUGUUUAUUAAUUUCAGGCAGUUCACUUACAAAACAAAGAAACAUGUGUUGUUUGUAGGGCUCCUUUGCGUACAUGUGCUAUGCAUGCUCCAUCACCUGAGUGUAGACAAGAUUCUUGAGGUGUAAAUCAUGAAAGAUACACCCGAAACUCAAGAUCAAAUCCGAUGAUUGACAGACGAGACUACGAACAAACAACACCAGAUGGAAGUUCACUAUUUUGCCAUAGAAAAUUGUUGUCAGAAAUAACAAUGGACCUUGCAAAGAUAGGGACAAGGUGCGACGCCGGGUACCAUAGGGCGUUGUCUGGUAUGAGGUUACUGAUCGAGGAACUUGAUAUGCUGAAUGAAGAAGAAGAAGAAGAAGAAGAAGCAAAAAUAAAAGAAGCAUAGAAUUCCUAUCUUGACAAGAAUACCGAGCAAGUAGAAGAUGCCGAACACAACGCUACUCGUGCAAUAAAAAACAAACAAUUCGUCCACAACCUGUUUCAAACAGGAGAGGGCAGAAGAAAAAGGGCGGUGCAACAAAAAAAAGGUUGCCUGCAAGGAGAAAAAUGAUGACAAAAAUAGUAAGCCACAACCUAAGCUGGAUAGUGAUGGUCGGCCACUGGGAAUAAGAGGGUGCAAGUCAUGUAAUACCAUCAACGGCCACAAUUCCAGGACACGUAGAAGAAAACAUGAACAACAAAACCAUGACCAUGGCGAUGCACAGCCAAAUAGAGAUUCCGCCUAGUUCACUGAGAAAUGGAUGAAACCGAGACUUUGUAGCAUUAGCAAAAAAGAGGAAGAGAAAUAACUCAAGAACCUGCCCCAAAAUAACAAGAUCACAAAACGAGGAAGACAAAGAAGAUGAAAUCAUAGUAAAAGAUGGUGAUACAACUGAAGAAGAAGUGGCUUAUGAAGAAGCAGAUGAAGCAGAGGAGGAGAAAUAAGAAGAGAGUGAAGAUGACGAACAAACAAUGCCCACAAAACCACAAAACAAGAAACCGAAAACAGAAGGGAAUGCUGUUGUACAAAAAAAUUGAGAAGGACACAACAAACAAAAAACAAGGUAGGAGUAUGAAAGUAUGUUGUUCACAGUGCUAGAAAACAAAAACUGCCAUCAACCAGCACAUGAGGAGAAGAGAAGAUUGUAGUUCACAGUGCUGGAAAGCAAAAAAACGCCAUCAAAUGCCAGGCAAGGGGCUACAAACCCAAUGGUGAAAACACUAUAAGCAGCAACACCGCCACGGAAAGCAAGACAAAGUGCAACAUUAAAUGCAAUCCAGUCACCGCGAAGAAGCAACGGGUUAAUGACAAAAUAAAUACAGUUCAAUAAAUUAAUCAUAUAUAUAGCGGUUUGCAUAUUUGUAUGACCUUUGUAGUGGGUUCAUCCACUAAACCAUUCGAGAGAAAUGAUGUAUGGAGAAAACCAUAUACAUAGUAGUCUGGGGUAAGCAUUGACGCACUCUCAUCCACAAACCAUAAAAAGCAAUGCAGUUACCUCAUAUAUAGCACAAAGUUCACAGCUAUAUGCCAGGUGGUUGAGAUCACAAAAGUACUAAUUACAAUCGCAUCAAAAAAUGAAGAAUUCCAUACAAAAAAGUACUUAUUACAAUCAAGCUCAUAAUCUUUACCAAUCACGUUAAACCUGAUUUUAAUCAAAUGAUCAUCGGGUUCAAAAUAGUUGAGGACAACAACUUGUUGAGACUUCAGGCCAUUUCAAUGACAAAUUCCUUAUUCCUUCUAGCCUUUCUGGAGAUACAGUCGCUCAUCAACGCCUACACAGUACUUGACUGGAGUAGGGUGUCAAUUCUCGAGAUUAACAUGGAGAAUACCAUUCUUCUUGAGACAAAGAUACCUAACAACUCAUUGGGGAUUUUCUGCAAAAAUAUAACAUAACCGUUAGAUGAUGAUACUGGUAGUACAAUUCUCAUAUUGUGCACAUAGCAGAAACAAACCAACACACAGAACAGAAACGAGCUAGAUGAAGUGCACAAACACACUAACAAGCAGUAUAGAUAAAAUGCACACAUAGUUCCUAAAACUCUUAUGUAAGAGAGGUACAUGCAGUAGGGAACAUGUUAAACUACAGUACGCUUGUAACUGUCAUGUAUAGGGGUGGGCAUAAAAACCAACGAACCGAACACCGAACCAAAACCGAUUUUUCAUUGGUACAAGUAAUUUCGGUAUUUACUUCUAAGAACCGAACUAAGUUCGGUCAGUUUGCUUUGACAUUCGGUUAGCCGAAAUACUACCGAACUGUAGGUGAAACAGUAUGCAGAUAACGUGAAUCACUUUCCAAGGUUGAACCAACGAUGUUGUCUAUUUUUUUCUCGUAUACCCAGCCACCCCACUUCCCUGGAAUCUUGGGUCAAGGCUAGCAACCCAACAGCUCACUAGCCCACGUUCAACUAGGACACAUCGGACGUGAGUUAUGUGGACCUUGGGACGACCUCCUACAUGUCUGACAGCCCAACAACUAAGGAAAUUCUAGCGGGCGUGAGAGGGAACGAGGAGAACUUUAGUCCCACCUCACGUGACUAAGGGGAAAAGGCUAAGAAUUUUUCCUAUAUAAUAGGUUGCUGCUCCUGUAUUUGAAGCACAUUCGGUAUAAACCAAAAACCAUAUCGAAUUAACCGGUUAACUGAAAUUUUGGUUAUUUGUUUCACAUUGUUAUUUUCGGUUUCUAAUUUUGUUAACCGUAUUUAAAAAAACGAUUGGUAGAAACCGAAUUUUCGGUUUAUACCGAACGCCCAGGCCUAGUCAUGUAGUUCGUAAAUAUUGUUGUAUGUAGUUCACACAGUACACGAGGGAAAAAUGUACAAGCUGGUGGUGCUCAUUUCAUACCUAUGAAGUUCAAAUCUUGCAACCAUGUAGUACGAACUCUAUAUUCAUGGAGCAUCAUAGUACAUGCAAAACAAACACGAGCUCCAUACACGCGAGGAAUAAAAUAAAAACAAGAUAUAAGAACAUAGUGUAGUACACUUCAAUAAGCAAAAUAAGUAAACUCCUAAUGUACUAGAAAUUUAGAAAAGUAUGGAAUUAUACAAAAUAAUAAAAGUCACAAAGAAAAACCAGAUCAAACGAAAAUUACUAUCUUGUAGUGAGUAUCCACGCCUAUGGGCAUACAUUGAUGGAAAAAAGGACUUGUGCGGCCAAGGCCACAGGGAAGCAGGGCGGGAUAGAACUCAACGACAUUGACAUGGUCCACAUCCAAUCCGUCCAUGAAAAUUGUGUCGUAUGCAAGCUGCUCUGCACGCCUAGCUAGGCACAAGACCUUGACCGCUCGGCGAGCACGACUGUCCUGCGAGAAAGUGAAGCAAUCGCGGUGCCUCGACACACCACAACCAUGGCCAUAGCAGGAGAGAUCCGCGCAAGGGUGUGGAGCCAUCACAACAGACCGUAGAAAAUGAAAAGAAAGAAAUGGAGACUGGAGGAAGGAGAGAAGUUGCGGCUAUAGGGGAAAUGAAAUGCAAACAACGGGUAGAAGUUGGCCUAAACAUAUACAAGAGGAAUGCAAAGAGUCUAGACAUGCAAAAAAUAAAACUGAAAAUUGAAUGAUAGUUAAUAAAAGUUAUGCUAUCAAGAAUGAAGGAUAAUAAAUAAAACAUACGUUACCAAGAAAAAGGAAGACCAAAAAAAGGUGUGCUUUGAGUGCAGCAUCUCCCACCCACUAAACACAACUCAUUAAUAUUUACAUUUCUAAAAAAUUAUAAUUCGCAAACAAUCCUAAACAAAAGGUGAAUGCAGUUCAAAAAACUAAUAUUAGAUAAUGCACAAGGUGUGUAGAUCUAGUGCAAGAGAAAGUGCACUCGACGGGAAAAAUAUUUAAAAAGAUUGACCGCUCACUAAAUGCAGCUCAUUAAUGUUUAUACUUCUAAAAACUAUAAAUCGUAAACCAUCCUAAACAAAUGUUGAAUGCAGUUCAGGAAAGUAAUAUCAGGGAGUGCACAAAGUGUGUAGAUGAAGUGCAAGAGAAAGUGCAUUGGACGGAAAAAUAAAAUAAUAUGGACUGCCUAGGUGCAACCAGGACCGCACUAGUAAAUGCGAGUCUGUUUUGCGCCGCGAGGCAUGGCACACAAGGGCCCUUAGGUCAGGGGCAGGGAGCGCCGUGUAUAAGCGCCCAAUCACUAAAUAUAGGAGUUUGAAACAGUUGCCUGGUCGUGGCUUAUAAGCCGGUCGCGAGCGCUGUCGGUUGGCGAGGUGGGACUAAACCUAAGCGCAUACACACAACGCAACGUAAAGCUCACUUUUCCCGUACCGGCAGACCUACUUGGGCCGAAGGCAUCUUCGCUCCCAAAGACUUUCCCAACACGGAAGACUAAUUAAAAUACCAUGGUCCACUAAAAUAAAAGAGUGACUACCAAAAAACAGGAAAAAUACAAAAGUUCUUCUAAACGAAAAACCACAACAAAAAAUGUGUGCGGGAAUUGUGAGAAACUGCACUUCGUUCUGAUAAAUAAAUAAAGGGAGCCCCAAGUAAACAUACAAAUGCAGUCUACAGCCUGCAGUAAUGCAAUUCGUCCAGUUGAAGCAGGAACUACAUUGCAGUUCCGUUAAAAUAAAGAAUGCAACCCGGUUAGUUAAGCAAAGCAGUCUUGUACCCCUAUCCACACAACACUCCAACCCAACAAUUUUUUUAUCAGUGUCAUCAAUAAAAAUAAGAAAAUUAAAAAUGAACCCCAUCAAAAAAGCAGUGCGCUUACAUCUGUAUGAAUUUUGAGAUCUGAUAUAGUAAAGUAUAUGAAGAAUAAAAUCAGUUGCAUGCAGUACAAUUUAUAGACAUAAGCAGUUCUAUCAAGAUAUCCAAGAAGUGCACUUAGUAAGAAAAUCCACCAAGAAACACAAACAUCUCAUUUCUAACAGUUGCAAGACCACAUGAAGUUGUGACAAGCAAAAACACGCGUAAGCAUCACAUAUACAAAACACGUUUACUACUAAUAAAGUUCCGCAUCACCACGACCAACGCAGCUAAUUUUUAUGUAUAACUUAUCAUACGAAAGUAGGACUAUAGAUGCUGAAUGUAGUUCACAAGAGUACACUCGCAAAGUGCAUAGUUUGGGUACAUGAAUAUCACAAAGAUAACUCAAGUGCGGUAAGAUCAGUGUGCAACAUUGGUACGUGCAGUACGGAGCAUGACAAAAGGUCUUCUUAUGAAAAAUAAAUAAAAAGAAUGACCACCCAGGUGCGAACAGUCCCGAGCCAGUCUCCUAGUAAGGCAACCCCCACACAGUUACGCAGGCGCGCCCGUUUCAAGCCACGAUGCGUGGGGACACGAACGCACAAGGGCCCACUGGUCAUGGUGUAUGGAGCAGCGAGCGUUGUGUGUAAGCGCCCAACAGUUGUACAAAGGAGUUUAGAACAACGCCUCGCCAGCGCUUAUGAAUAGGUCGCGCUGUCCUUCCGCGGGCAAGGUUGGAAUAAACCUUGGCACAUUCGCACGACGCACCGUGAAGCUACAGUGCUGACAUGCCUAUAUGGGCUUAAUGACAUUUACUCGUAAGAACAAGGCCCAGAAACGUCUCCGCUAUGGAUAUAACUUUUCUCAAAAUCCACGGCAUAAGUGUUUGUGAAUAAAAUGACAUAAGUAAGAAUGCAGUAAGAGGCCUUUUUACGAAAGGCAAGGCAGUGCUAAUUCCUUUAGAAUGCAGUUCUGUGAUAGCAUGGCUUACAAGGGAUGAUAGACUACUCAUAUCAAUAAGGGAUUCCUUCUUUUCCACGAGCCCAUUAGACUAGUAUUGAUAUGUGGGGUCAGUAUAGAUCCCGCUAGGAGUAACGACCAUUGGCGGGUGUGUCAAGGGCGUUAUAAGUUCUUUGUUUACAAAACAACACUACGGUUCCUAAAAAAUAAGGAACAUCCCCUAUACUAGUAUGAGUGAAAACAAAGCACAACGCCUAUAUUACUAUGGAAUAGAGUCUCUCGUAUAAUACCGUAUGCUCACAAAACACUAAGGUACAAGAAGUACAGUAAGUACACAAAGGCAGUCCUUUUCGAUUUUCUAGGCAGUGUAGAUAGUUAUCAUUUGCAUGCGAAAAAAGAGGGACACCGUUUCUAAUUUUGUGGCCACUAACAAAACAUACACCCCACUCACGUCCUCUCUUCAGCUUCCAUGUUAUGCCUGACACCACCACCCCACCAGUAUACGUGAAAAAUCACAAAUGCUUCGUCCCCGAAAAACCCCAUCGCCCCUUCAUCUCCCCCGACUACCACACAGAGCGCACGUCCACUACCCCCACUACCACGCCGAGCCCGCGUCCAACUGCCUUCUCCAUGACCCAAACCAAGCCACCAAAAGUUACAUCUGCUUCCAUUCCCGCUCCAUUCCAGAAACACAAUUGCCGCUCCAUCUCAACUAGCCACUCCCCACAACAUCUCUGUCUCAAGCCCUCCAUGAAUUGUGGAUUUAUGAUCAGAUUAUCUAUAAAUAUUAUUUGAGUUUCUUCUGAUCUCUCUUAUGCAUGAUUUCAUAUCCUUGUAAUUCUCUUCGAGUUGUGGGUUUUGUUUGGCCAACUAGAUCUAUGAUUCUUGCAAUGGGAGAAGUGCUUGGUUUUCGGUUCAUACUGUGCGGUGACCUCACCCAGUGACAGAAGGGGUAGCGAGGCACGCAUCAUGUUGUGGCCAUCAAGGGUAAAAAUAUGGGGUUUUCAUCAUUGGUUUGAGUUUAUCCCUCUACAUCAUGUCAUCUUGCUUAAGGCGUUACUCUGUUCGUCAUGAACUCAAUACAUAGAUGCAUGCUGGAUAGCGGUCGAUGUCUGGAGUAAUAGUAGUAGAUGCACAAAGUAUCGGUCUACUUGUCUCGGACGUGAUGCCUAUAUGUAUGAUCAUUGCCUUAGAUACCGUAAUGACUUUGCGCGGUUCUAUCAAUUGCUCGACAGUAAUUUGUUCACCCACCAUGAUAUUUGCUAUUUUGAGAGAAGCCUCUAGUGAACACUAUGGCCCCCGGCCCUACUCCACACCAUAUUUUCAGCCUUACACUUUUUCUUCGUUGCAUUUUCCGCCUUCAGAUCUCACUUUGCAAUCAACCUUGAAGGGAUUGACAACCCCUUUAAAGUGUUGGGUGCAAGCUCUUUUGUGUUUGCGCAGGUACUCUGGACUUGACGAGAUUCUCCUAAUGGAUUGAUACCUUGGUUCUCAAACUGAGGGAAAUACUUACUCUCCUGUGUUGCAUCACCCUUUCCUCUUCAAGGGAAAAACCAAUGCAAGCUCAAGAGACGACAGAAGGAUCUCUGGCACCAUUGCCGGGGAAGGACUUUUGUUUCCGUAGCAAGCCUCCAUGGAGUCCUACAUGAAAACCUGAUAACAUGGGGGGGGAACAUGGGAACACUCAGCCCAAAUUCAAAUCCAAAAUCAUUAAAUGCAGCUUAGAAAUAUAAAAAAGCGGUUCAGCAAGGAACAUAAUGCAGGCCACUUGUCUAGAACAAUGCAACAAAGUUGUCUAGAACAAUGCAUCACACUUACCCCGAAAAAUGCAGCCCACUUGCCCAUAAAAUACAGCUCACUUGUAUACAACAAUGCAACUCACUUACACAACAAAUAUGUAGCCCUCCACUGUCAAAAACAUGCAUUUCACUAACACAGUAACAAAUAAAAACCUUAAGAAGCAUAAGCAAGCAGUAGGCAAAAUAAAUAAGAGAAAUAAAGUCGUUCACUAACACAACAUUUAUCUUCAAAUAUUAGAAAUGAUGAUAAAUCAAAGGAACACUGUGUCGAGGUAAGCCAACUGUAGAGCAUGGCCUUUGUCAUGUAGCCAAUGUGUUCCACCCUAAACUAAGCAACUUGAACACCACCCCAAGUGUGCAACAAUUGAAACAUAUAGAAUCCACAAUCAUGCAUGUAGAGAAGAACAAAAACAUUAGCUUCACAUAAAUAUAAAAUAACAGUUGAGGGAUAUGGUGGGCGAAGGGUGACCAGAAAGCUACCCAUUUGACUGAAUUGGGACAACCACAUGCCUCAACAUUAAGCCAUCAAGUGUAGGAGGAUUUAACGUCUCAACGGAACUUGAGCUACCUUCUUUCCAUGCACGCUUGAUAUUUUUAACCAUCCUCCUAAAAACCCUGUUUGCUUUAGAGCUGCCAGUUUUAUUGAGCGAGUCAACAAAUUCAAACAGCCUUCCCUUCACAUACUAGGCAACUACACAAUAAUGGCCAACGCCAUCCCUCGUCUCUGGCGGAUCAAAUGUUGCAAACAGGCCCUGUUGGAAGUAAAAAUAAAUAGAAGUAUUAUAAGAACAAGAAAUUGAACACUAUAAAAAAACACACAAAAUGGUUUUGGACACAUAAAACAUUACUCACCAUAUCUUUUUUAUUGACAUGUUCCUCGGCUUUUGAAGAGAACACCAAUUUCACACUCCUACCCACACUAGCUACCACCAUACCAAAUACUUGACUACAAAAACAAAACCAAACAUGAAAUGAUGUUGAAGCAAACAUGUCAUCACACGAAAAUAGAAAAAAGAUAAUCAAAUAAGAAACAAAAAAGUUUUGCAUGUUACACAAAUAUGGAACACGACAACCAUCGUCGGAGAUCCCAUAAACUUAUCUACUACGAAAGAAACCCCAAAAUUUACGAGGCAUGUAGUGAGCAUCCAUCUAUUCCAAAAAGAUUGUCCAACUUCCCCAAUUGUAAUAUCAGCCAACUCAGUUUCAAAAGAAAUCUUGUCCCUGAAUUAAUAUUUUUUCAAAAAAUAAACACAAGAUACUAAAAAACAACAAGAACGAAAAAGGGCAAAAGACUCAGGCUGGAAAAUAAAAAUUAACAAAAAAAUAUAAAAAUCCAUACAUCUUCUUAUUGUCCCUCUGAGCCCUAGUAAGAGUAUUAUACAACUUGUUGUAUCUUUUGAGAAGAGCUGGGUCAAUGCUUGACGGUGUCACAACAGGCAGUUCAUCAUUUGUAAUAUAAAAUAAAGAACAAAUAAAAUAUGAAGUUCACCGACAUAAAAUAGGAAGUUCAGUUGUAACAUGUGGAAAUCUGCUAGCUAGCAACUAUUUUAAAUAAUCACCAACAUAGAAAAAGUCCACUUAUCAUUAAACAUUAGAUGUAGCUAACAUAGUAAUUAAAAAAUGAAUGAGAAAAUCUUCAACUUCACUAUUCGAAACAAAACACUGUCCUUCAGUGUUAGAUUCUUCAUGUUGUAGCUCUUCAGAUCUAGCCUAAAUAGUUUCUCCACUAGGUUGCGACGAAACCACCACAACCUCACUGCACUGCCCAACUAUAGCAAUAUCAGCGUUGCCCGUAUUUUCAACACUCUGGAUAACCACAACAUCCUCAAAUAACCCAACUCCAUGAGGCUCCACUCUAAAUACAUGAAGAACAUUGUUAGACGCCAGACAAAUAGGAGAACCGGCAACACUUUCAGGAGGGACGUCAUUCUCUAGUUACUUUUCAAUGUCAACAUCCACAUCUUCGUGCUGACUAUGGGAAACUUCAUGGUGGGAUUCCUGAGGUGAAGAAGGUUCUGCACUGUGAAAAACAACUGAUACAGAAGCAUCCACACCAUCACCACCAGCAACAACACAACUCCCCUGGUGCACAUCAACAUGCACAACGCCAAACGAUUGACGAACUUCUACAUUUUCAUCUCCAGGGUGCAAAACUGUAAAAAAGACACAAUAAAACAAAUGAGAGAGGGGAGAUUUAACACAACAACAUGCAGUUCACUUAUGUCAAAGACUGUGGAACACAUAUGUUAAAAGAACUGCAGUUCACUUCUGUCAAAAACUGAAGCUCACUUAUAAUAAAGACUGCAGCCCACAUGCGUAAAUUGAGCUGUAGUUCACUUAUGUCAAAAGACUGCAACACACAUAUGUCAAAAGAACUCCAUUUCACUUCCGUAAAAGACUAAAGAUCACUUAUAUCAAAGACUGCAUCCCACAUAUGUAAAUUGGACUACAGUUCACUUCUGUCAAAGACUGAAGCUCACUUAUGUCAAAGACUGCAGCACACAUAUGUAAAAAGAACUGUAGUUCACUUCACUCAAAGACUAAACCUCACACAUGUGAAACUAUGCAGCUCACAUAUGUAAGAUGAAUGCAUCUGAGUUAACGGAAACAGCGUACGUCUAGCUUAUAACAACAACAAUAAUUAGAUUACAACCAACUAACAAAAAAAGUAAUUCUACUAAACCUUAUCAACUACAACAUCUACAGGGGACGACACAUUAGCCAAGUCCUCAUCCUUCUCACAUCCGUUGUAAGAAUCCGUGUGCACAUCACAAGCGGCAACUCGAGACUACACACACAGAACAAACAAAAACGAAAUAAGAUGGUAACGAUCAAAAUAGGAUAAAAAACUACAAUUAUGCACAAGCAGUACACAUUUUACAAAAUAGGAGGUACACAAAAAUAAAAUAAAAUGGAAAGCAAAAAAUACAAGUUCAAGAGGAGAAGCACGUAGCAGAACAUGUAUGGGAGAAGUACUUAUACCUGUCCAAGUCCAACAUCACCUGAUGUGUGAAGACCACCAGGUUCCACUCCAGCCUAUAACAAAAACAAAGAGCGAGCAGCAGUCCACACGAUACACAAAAACAGGUUCAAAUGGACAAACAAAGGACAAUGUACAUUAUCAGUGGGCGCACCGGCAUCGUGUCGGUUCAUUUCUUCCAAAAUGUGCUGAGCACCCUUCUCAUACCGAGUGCAUUUUACUUCAUGUGGAUCUUUUAACUCAGCAUUCAAAGACCGAAUAUUCGUCACUGCAAUCUUCAAGCUUUCAACCACACCAUAGUCAAAGUUGUGGGCAGCAAUAGUAUCUUCUUCGCGGGGCCAUGGCCAGCAGGGAAAAAUCCAGCAACUUUCUUCAACCUAUCACAAGACGUUGUCAAAUCUUCAGUUAACUAAAAAACCUUUAGAAGAAGCUCAUCAAUCUACUCGUGUUUUUUGCCGCCAAAAAAUGUUUGUUCAGAAGAGAUUCUAUUAUCAAACAUCCGACGAGCCAUGAAACCACGAGUAGGCGGUGGCUCAUCAUCACACGCAGGAAGCUGGCUACAGAUAGGCUAACACAACAUACCAUGACUGUUAGGCCUCGCAUCAGAGCUGCCACGUAGCACUGUAGCAAGACGGUAGUACACAAUAUCGCCUGACGCCUUCCACUUCAAAAAAGAUAAAAUGGGAAAUAACUACACAUGUGAAUACUAGAAAGUUCAAAUUUAUAAUGACUAAAUUUUUUAAAAAAACUAAUGCACUAACCGCAGCCUCCCAAAUCUGUAAUUUUCCAGAUAAAUCUUUCCCUUGAAAACUAUAUCCUUGUUGUAUAACUUCAUUAGUUCCUUGUUCUUCAGGAAUGACGCAAGUGGUGUCAAUGUGUGGAUAAGUGAAAAUUUGCGAAGCUUAAAGCAAUCAAGAUACAUAAUAAGGGGCACAAUGGCAUAACCUCUACCAUCUGUCUGCCACUUCACCACAGCUACCUACCGCUCAUUAACAACAAGCUGACAAAAAGUCCAUCUGCACCAUAGCCGUAUAAUCCAUGUUCUCAAACAUGGCAGCAACUCUGCCCAAGAAAAUUGCAGGCCCACGGCACAACAAAUUCUGAUAAAGUAUCAAGAAGAAUACCUUGACAGCAAGAUCAACCAUCACAUGAUCAUCAUCCUCCACCAGCUCCGCCAGCUUCUGAACCAAGUCCUUGAGACCUAUACUUUGUGAAUCGUAAAAGCCCAGCUCAUCCUUGUGGGCAGAUAACGAGUCAUCAUGGCCACUGCUAGCAGGCAUGGGUGUAGUGUGAGGUCCCAUUGGAAAAGCAAACAUAUGAUGGACCGCAGCACGAUUGAUUUGAAGAACCCUCUCAUUCCCAAAGUCCACUGUCAUCAUCGCAGGGUCAGUCACUCCCAUUAGAUAGCACAUCAGAAUGUGCGACACAUUUUUCUUUACUAUCAACUCGAAGACAACGCCAAAGCCAGCGUCCCAAACACAAUUACAGUGUGCUCCUUUAAAUAAAGCAGUAACUUUGCACACAGUGGGGAGAGACAAAGGUACAGUCUUAUUAAAUCGAGCAUCAUCUCCCUCACCGUCAUCUACAGUCCCCUUGCUCUUACUAGUCUUUUCCGCCAUGUAAAGGAAAAUGUAGUCCACGUUAGAAGAUUAGCCAAAAAAGAUACAAAAAUGGCAGAUAGAAUAACAAUGAAAGAAACAAAUGCAGUCCACUUCAACAAACCUUUAGAACAACAUACGCCUCCCCAUCAGAGUCAGCAUCCUCCUCAACAUCGCCAUCAUCACAAGGCCGCUUAGAUUGUCUCUUAGAUGGAAAACAAUAUUUCAGUCUGCCAGUAUGAACAUUCCUCACAAAAUCAGCAAGCCUAAAGUCAUUAUCGCUAGAGUUGGGCCCUUCACUGACAUGUGGUCGCUUCCCCUAAGGAUCCUCUUACCAAGCUUGUUUAUGCAAGCAACACGAUGACUCCGCCGAGGAGUACCACCUUCCUCGGCAAUAAAAAUCAGCCUCUUCUUGAAUUUACCAAAUUUGGCACCCUUGGCACUGAUACGUCUCCAACGUAUCUAUAAUUUUUGAUGGUUCCAUGCUAUUAUCUUUUCAAACUUUGGAUGUUUUGUAUGCCUUUUAUAUCUUUUCUGGGACUAACUUAUUAUCUCAGUGCCAAGUGCCAGUUCCUGUUUUUUCCAUGUUUUUGACCCUUUUCGGAGGAGGAUUUUAAACGGUGUCCAAAUGAAAUAUAACUUCCGAAAAGAUUUUUUCUGGAACAGAAGAUAUGCACGGACUUGAGAACCAAGGCACAGCCCACCAGGGGACCCCACAAGCCCCCUAGGCGCGGCCAGGGGGCGCCUAGAAGUCUUGUGGGACCCCUGUGGCUCGUCUUCCCUACCUCUUCCGCCUAUAAAUUCAGGAAAAAUAUAAAACUACGCGAGAGAUCCACGAAAAUACUUUUCCGCCGCCGCAAGCUUCUGUCUCCGCUAUAUUCCAUCUGGGGCACAAUCUGGUGCCCUGUUUGAGGGGGGAUUCGGAUACGGAGGGCUUCUUCAUCAACACCAUGACCUCUUCGAUGAUGCGUGAGUAGUUCACCAUAGACCUACGGGUCCAUAGCUAGUAGCUAGAUGGCUUCUUCUCUCUCUUGGAUCUUUAAUACAAAGGUCUCCAUGAUCUUCAUGGAGAUCUAUCCGAUGUAAUCUUCUUUUGCUGUGUGUUUCUCGAGAUCCGAUGAAUUGUGGAUUUAUGAUCAGAUUAUCUAUGAAUCUUAUUUGACUUUCUUCUGAUCUCUUAUAUGCAUGAUUUCAUAUCCUUGUAAUUCUCUUCGAGUCGUGGGUUUUGUUUGGCCAACUUGAUCUAUGAUGUUUGCAAUGGGAGAAGUGCUUGGUUUUGGGUUCAUACCGUGCGGUGACCUCACCAAGUGACAGAAGGGGUAGCGAGGCACGCAUCAUGUUGUACCCAUCAAGGGUAAAAAGAUGGGGUUUACAUCAUUGGUUUGAGUUUAUCCCUCUACAUCAUGUCAUCUUGCUUAAGGCGUUACUCUGUUCGUCAUGAACUCAAUACACUAGAUGCAUGCUGGAUAGCGGUCGAUGUGUGGAGUAAUAGUAGUAGAUGCAGAAAGUAUCGGUCGACUUGUCUCGGACGUGAUGCCUAUAUGUCUGAUCAUUGCGUUAGAUAUCGUCAUGACUUUGCGCGGUUCUAUCAAUUGCUCGACAGUAAUUUGUUCAUCCACCGUAAUAUUUUCUAUUUUGAAAGAAGCCACUAGUGAACACUAUGGCCCCCGGGUCUACUUCACACCAUAUUUUUAGCCUUUCACUUUUACUUCGUUGCACUUUCCGCCUUCAGAUCUCACUUUGCAAUCAAUCUUGAAGGGAUUGAGAACCCCUUUAUAGCGUUGGGUGCAAGCUCGUUUGUGUUUGCGCAGGUACUCUGGACACAUGGCUUGAUUCUCCUACUGGAUUGAUACCUUGGUUCUCAAACUGAGGGAAAUACUUACUGCUCCUGUGCUGCAUCACCCUUUCCUCUUCAAGGGAAAAACCAACGCAAGCUCAAGAGACGGCCGUAACAGGCACCAUCUACAACCCUCCUCUACUUCUCUUUCUUCGCAUACUCCUUUGAGUCACUUUCUUUCAACCUUAACUUUUUAUUGCGUUGCUUCAACUCAUAUGCAUGAAGCUGAUCCGGGAUCAUCCACUCUUGCAUAACUUCCUCUAUUCCAUCAACAUAUUGUGAUCGAGUUUCAGAGAAGACGGGACGCCUACCGCUCUGUUCAAAGCUCACACUAACAUCACCCUUUGCAAAAUAAUGGUUAAUCAAUUGUGUAACCUCCUCAAACCCAAUACACACAUCCAUAUAAAUGCAGGGCUGCAAACACAAGCUAAACAAAAAACAAUACAGUUCACAAAUAAUUGUAAUGGAGUUAACCCAUCUGCAUACACAACCUGAAUAAAACGACAAUGAGGUUCACACAUACAUGUAGUCGAGUUCACAUAUACAUAUAAGUGCAGUGUUGCAUACACUAACUACAUGUUUGUUUCGGAAAAAAUGCUUGACUAACUUCAGCAAAGCAACAACAGUUUGUACAACAUCGAGUAAGCAACAUACAAAAUAAACAAAACAUGCACAUCAAAAAAAGCAAGUAUAUAUAAGAUCAAUGCAGUUCAAAACUCACAAAACACAAAUAUGAAAUAUACAAAGAAGAGAGUAAUACAACCAAUUUGGCAAACUAAAUAAGAAAAAGAACAAACAACAUACCAAAAGGAGCGGCCACAUUUAUAGGAGAACAUUCAAUUGGUGAAUUCACUUCAUUGCCUACCUUACCAACAUGAUCCUUGCCACCAGGAAUACGAGUGCCAAUUGGCGUAUCAUGAACAGUACCAUUAUGACAAGUGCAUCACAAUCACCUACUGCCUUAAAUAAAAUCAGAAAUAAAAAUUUAAAAACAUCACAUGACAAAUAAUGCCAGCGACGCUGAGAACUAACACAUCAUAAACAAAUAUUCAACAUGAACUAGACAAAUUGAUUAACAAGACAGAAAAUAAACAAGGCCAAUCAAGCACUCCACAUACCUUGAACUCGACCAUCUACUCUGCUUGGGGAAGACAUGGCGAUUGCGUGAAGCACAAGGCCAGAGUGACAAAUAUGAGCAACAAAAUCGACGAAAAAUGACUAAACCCUAGAUGCACCUUGCUCUGCCCAAAGAUCCCUCCAGACUAUGGACUUAAAAUCGAGAACAAAUCGCUUGGUGAUAUGUCUCCAACAUAUCUAUAACUUAUGUGCUGCACCAUCCCCUCCUCUUUGGGGAAAACAACAACGUAUAUCACAAGUAUUAGGAGUUCAAUGCUAGUUGUCGCAAGUUUCACAAUUAUUGCAUGGACAGAAUGUGAGAAGGAGAGGAUCAUAACAUUAUGCAAGUGCACUAUGGCAGUAAGCAUUGCAAUCACAUUUCGGGUACCAUCAGUGUGGUAACAGCUCGGAACCGACGCUCUAGAAGAUUCCCCUUUCUACUCAAUUGUCGUCGCGUGAUUUAUUUGGUUGUUGCAUUCAUCAUCGCAUCAUGGGCAUCAUCCGCAUUGCAUCGACACUCUGUUGUCAUUAUUUUUCCAAACUUGCAUCCGUUAUUAGUUGCGGUUCUCUCGACCGUUUCGAGACCAACCACACACACAUGCGCCCACGGCAUUGAUAAAAUAUUGUUUUUAAAAGUGUGUAUAAAACAUUCUCGGAUUGGGUUGCAAGUUGGCACGCGGUUGUUGGUGUCAAAACCGGCGGAUCUCUGGUAGGGGGUCCGAACUGCGGAUCUUGGAUUGAUGGGUAACAAGGGAUGAAGGACACGGUGUUUACCCAGGUUCAGGCCCUCUUGAUGGAGGUAAAACCCUACGUCAUGCUGCUGAUGAUAUAUCGAGUACAAACUUGAUCUACCUCGAGAUCAUAUGUUGUAGUCUAAACCCUAAUGAUGUAGAUGUUGUGUCUAAUGAAUAUCUGUCAACUAGCCUGGCCUCGGAUUUUAUAACAUACCGAAGACUAGGAUAACAAGAGUCCUAGUCGGCUACGUCAGUGUAGAGGAGUCCUUGUCUUCAUCACCACGUCUUGUGGAAUCUUACUCGUAUAUGUCAUCGGCUGCCUGAAGUAGCCUAGGAGUCCGUCCCGUAUAGAUAGGUCGGCAGCCUGAGGACCCCUUAGUCCCAGACUACCUCAAUAGCCCUCGAACUAGCCGCCAAUGCCGUAGCCUUGAUCCUUAGCAUCACGCAUCCAAAGUCUUCGUCUUAGGGGGCGAGUUCUUCUCCCCAUUUAUGUUCGACCAACACUAGUUCGCCCACCGAUGACUUCCUGAUUUACGAGCAUAGGUCUUUAAGUUGGGGAUGCUCCUCGGUUCUUUCGAACUGUUCCUCAUCUUCGGUCGUCGAUCUUGAAAACUCGUUCAACAAAUCUUCCCAUCACUGAUCUUGAGGAUCGCUAGGUUAAAUCAAAAGAGUUCACACGUCGGGCAUCCGAGGAACCUCGUUAAGUUAUCGGCCUUUAUUAGCCAUGUCAUUUUUUAUGCCACAACUUGGUUUUGAAAUGUUUCCCAUGUGGCGAUAUCCUCUUGCAUUCGAGCUCGAACGCCGAACUAGAUCCGAGGUGUUCUCUUGCGUCUGAGCUCCAACGCCGGAUUGCAUUCUAGGUGUUAUUUUGUAGCCAAGCUCCAACGCUCGUCGGCUUCCAAGGUGUCAUUGAUUACCUUGGUCUUUGAAAUAUGAUGGAAUUCAUCUGAGGUUAAAUGCCGAAAUAGUCUUUUAUGGAUCCAGCCAUUCGCAUCCAAACUAUAUGCCGAACUGCUUUCGAGGUGGUGCACCACCUCAGCCGUGGGCUCGUUAUUUGUGGAUAUAUAGCCAGUAGCCCUCAAGGUGCGUGUCGGUCUAGAACCUGAGAUGCACCUGCAGGAAGACAAACGUUGAUCCCAGUAGCCCAUGAGACUCAGGUCGAUUCGCAAAGUCGGCCUAAGGAUCAAUUCCUUGCUCGGCAACAAACAUUAGGAAUUAAAAUGCGGUGUGCAGUAGCCCCGGAGACUCUGGUUGUGUAUGGCCGGCCUACCUGACGAUCAAAUCUUCUCAGAAAAAGUAUUGCACUUGUUGUGUGUGUUUUGACAAUGCCAAUGUGCAGGCCGGCAGGGAAGAUGCUGAACUGCGGCUCGGAAAAGAUUUUCCAGUUGGUGUAAUUGAUUGUCUGACGAGCUGUAUAACCAGUAGCCCCGAGACUUGGGUUGGGCAACAUGGCCGACCGUAGGAUCGUAUCUCCUUGAGAACUAUUUCAUCCAUUAAGUGUAUUUUUACAACACUGAGGUGGAGCCCGUUAGGGAAGACGUCCAACUGUAGGUCAAGAAAAAUUCUCCGAACAAAAUCACCACGCAGAACACGUGGAAAUAGAAGAUGUGCCGCCUCCUGAAAGAAAAACAUAGAAAUAGGUUAAAGGUGCCAUAAGCUUGGCAAUACCAAAAACUUUAGCAAAACAUUAUAUUCCGAACUAAAUCAAGUUUCAUUCACGUGUGCAGUAGCCUCCGAGACUCAGGUUGGGUGCGGUCGACCGACCCGAGGUUUGAAUCUCCUCAGAAACCGUAUUGCACUUUGAAUUUUCUACAUUUACUAAGCAAUGCAGUAGCCCCCGGGCCUUUAUUUGGGCACGAGUGGUCGAAUUAAGGGUCAAUCUUUGCUUCAUACAAACUUUAUUAUAUUUGACACUUUUUAAGUGUAAUGAUUAUACGUAUCCAAGUACUUUACAUCAGUAAUGCUCGGACUGCAUUGUACAAUACUAUGUUGACCGAGCAUCAGCUUCAACCUCCUCGGCCAGUAGUCGAGGAGUGUUUGUCCUACUUUAUAAAGCCUUUAUAAGGUCAAAGAUUUACGGCAAACAAGGCAAUCCGGACAUAUGGUUUUAUAAACGAAGUUAUGUGGAGAGAUAUGUUAUAUUACUAUUUACCGUAAGAAAAAUCCUAUGGAAAAAUAGGAUCAUUUAUAAGUUCCAUUUCCCAAGAGAUCAUGUUGACCAUGAUCGUGAAACCUCAACUCUGAUCAAUGUGGGAGGAAAAUAUUGAGGAUUUAGUUUGGGGAAUGUUCCCGAACUUUGUGGUCGUUAAUGAACCGAAAUUUUUUACUUUUGUCUUUGCCGGCCGAUUAUAUUCUUAAGAUGGCUAGCUUUCGGCUUCAUGCACUCUGAGGUACUAACCCGAAUGAUCCAGAAUUUAGAAUCAUAGAGGUUCUCCCUUUACCACCUAGGCAAAUAAUUGGGAGCAUAUGGGGUAAGCACAGGAGCCAGGCAACCCAACUUGACCAAAAUCUUAAGUCAAAUUGAUUCAUAUUUUUGGCUUCAUAACGAUGAUUACGGAAGGCAGCACUCGCAUAUUUGUAUGUUAUAUACUAUUUUGACUCCUAUGUGACUGUUUAUCAUUUGAGAGUGGCCCAUCGUCUUCUUCUACCCCCUUUGUAGAUGCUAUGCAGGGUGUUUCCGCGGUAACAAGACAACCAUUAGCUGAUGUCUUGGUUCACAGAGGUGGUUGUGUUAGAGGAAACGAGGCAAUCAGAUAUCUAGGCUUUAUAACUCUCACUUAGUCAUAGGUGCUUAAAGUUUAGGAUGCCAGUUACUAGCCCCCGAUUAGUGUUUGGCGUCAGCCGAGGUCAAGCCAUUAACACUUCGACCAAUUUUUUGAAAAGCCCAUCUCUAUCGACCUAUAGUUUGACACGGUCAUCGGGCCGCUGGCAAGUUUAUACUCAUUGUGGUAGUCACUUUUUGGCUUUCUCCACUCAGGUACUUGACCAGUCAAAUCGGAAGUAAGAUCACAUUGGUUCUCCCUUUGCACACCUAGCCGAACAAAGCGGAACAUACGAGGCAAUCACAGGAGUCGGGCAACCCAACUAUUGAACGAAGACACAAUUUGAAAUUGAUGCACAUAAAGAAAAUCUGAGAAACUUAGGGGCAGGUCGGCACGGAAGAUGCCGAACUACAGGACGUUAAAUAUUUCCCCAACUGAAUUAUUACGUAGGGCACCUCGGUGAAGAGGAUGUUCCUCCUCUUAAAAAUAUUCAAGAGGUUAAAAGUUUCACAAGCUCGAAAAACCAAAAAAUUAGGUACGGACAUGACGUCUUAAUUAAAUCAAAUUUUUGGUUCCAAUCCAAAAUUGGUCUUUUUAAAAUUAAUAUGUGCUUCGGUCGUGCUUUAACAUGAUACAUCCUAUCUCCAGACUUCAAGCGGGUCAGCCUUCUAUUUUAACAUCCAUAUCCCGAAGGUGGAGUGUUUCUCCGAGGCCUAUCUAGCAAACUAAACUCGAGCGGCUUUAGAAAGAAACCAGGCUAUCGGGCUAUUGACCAAGCACUAGUGUCGGAAAAAGGAGUACUAGAAAAAGACUUUGCAACGACCAAAAGUAAAGAAAAAACAUUUAUUCAUAAAAUGUCUCAUAUAAAUUUAAGAGCCCCCAGUAAACGUGGAUAAAGGAACUGUUUGUUACAAACAACGUUUUUAACAAGCUAAGGUUUUAACAAAGAGCUUUUCUGUUAAACAGAAAUAUAAUUUAGUUGAACCACACAAAAUUAAAAAUUGAAAAACGUUGAGCGUGAAAUCGACUUAUCUGGUUGAUGUACUCGGUGUGACGUGGUCCGGGCUUGUAGAGGUCCGAGGUUACAUCCCCCAAUCCUGUCACGAGUUAGAUGAUGAAGAGUUUGGCUUGAUGAAGUGACGACACAAUACUUCAGAAAGGCCGAGGCAAAACCCUCGAACCAGCCGAGGAGACAAAGUAGUUCGGCAGUGUGACGGCAAAGCACCCACGUCAGUCGAUGACGCAAUUUGGUUGAUGGAGGUGUGAAGACGACGUUGGCGUGCCGAGGUGGCUGUCUAACACGAUCGAAGAUGAUCACCCGUGCACAUAAAAUAAUGCAAGCCAACAGUCAUAUCAAAUAAUAAUGAAUAUCCUCUACUUAAUGAAUUUAAGUGAAGUAAAUAUUUAGAAAAAAUAUAACCUAAUCCUCAUCUGGUCCUCAUGCUCAUCAGACGUUCUUUCACUUUUAUUCAGGAUGCCUGUGACAAAAGAAUGAUCCCUCAUCCUUGCGGGAAAAGGGGACUUUUCAUAUUCAACUGCAGGCAAGAUAGGGUCAACAACGUUAAUAUCAACAGGUAAUUACUUAAAAGGUUUAUGGUGUUGAUCCUCCUUCUUCUUAGAAGAGUCAAUAUGAGAGGCAAAGUCUUUGCAAAAAUCAAUUAGAAGAUGGGAAUCAAGAACAAUCUUAGCAUAAAAUGUACUGAAGUAACCAAUUUUCACAUAGCUCUCAAUGUAAUCACACUCAUAAUUUAUAACGGGUUCAAUACCUUUAUCAAUUUUCCAGUCUUCAGUGUUCUUCUGGAUCCUUUCAAUAAAAUCCCACUUAGCUUCAGUGCUUUUGUUGGAGAAUGCCCCACUAGAGGAAGCAUCAAGCAUCUCUUUAUCUUGACGAGAAAGCCUUGCAUAAAAAAAUGUAAGAAUAAUUUCUUUGGAGAGAUCAUGAUUGGGACAUUUGAGAAUUAAGGACUUCAGUCUCCCCCAAGCUUGAGCGAUGUUUUCUCCGUCAUGAGACCAAAAGUUAUAAAUAUAAUUCCUAUCUCGAUAUAUUUCAUGAAGAGGAUAAAACUUUGCAUAAAAGCGAGGCAUAAGAUCUUGCCAAUUUAGUAAAUGAGAGUCAUCAAGAAGCCUAUACCAAUCCAAAGCCUUAUCUUUCAAUGAUAGAGAGAAUAGCUUUCUCAUAACAAAAUCCAUCGAUAUACCUGCAAGCUUAAAUAAGGAGCAUAGUUGUCAAAGAUAUAGCAAGUGUUCACCUAGAUGUCUAUCUCCUGCAUAUCGAUUAGCCAAAACACAAUCAAUAAUACAAGUUGGUAUUUUAAAAGGCACAAUUUCAGUAGAUGGAGGAGCCUUCUCCACCACAAUAGCGUUGGGUCGGUUCCCCGCAAGCAACAAACCAAGAGAAGAGUGGUCCAUAGGGACAAAAAACGGCAACAGUAAAACAAAAACAGCAUGUGUAGUGUUAAGAUUUCCUUACCAAUUUCACUUACCAAUAGCGCUACACUCCCCGGCAAUGGCGCCAGAAAAUGGUCUUGAUGACCCACAAUUGUAUGGGAUCUAUCGUAGCCUUUUCGAUAAAUAAGAGUGUCGAACCCAACAAGGAGCAGAUGGUAUUGACAAGUGAUCUUGAGCAAGGAAUAACUGCAAGUACUGAAAGGUAACUUUUUAUGGGUUUUCUAGUAUAAGCAACAAGGAAAUAAAUGCAAGUAAAGUAAAUCGUGCCGAGGUGCACCAAGUGGCCCAAUCCUUUUAAACACAAAGGAUAAGACAAGGGACUAAACUUAUAAAGACUAAGGCAUUUCUGAGGACACACGGGAGAGAUAGUCAAGUGCUUCCGCCAUGCUCUGUCUAGUACUAUGUUUUGUAUUGAUAAGUGUUAUGUGCGCGGAUCUUAACUAGUGCAUCGUCUAGGCCAAGACAAGUACACUCUUAUUAUUAAUCCCUCUUGAAAGCAUCCACAAAUACAAGAGAGAAAUUAAGGCAAAGCCUCACCAUAGCAAUAAGCUUUAGGAUCCAAUACUCCCUCAUGCAAAAGUAUGGAAACUGGGGUUCAGGUUUCUGUCACUCUGGCAACCCACCAUAAGCAUUCUUUUUACACGAUGCAUUCCCCUAGGUCCUUCAAAAGGCGAAGUGUUAUGUAGUGGACGUUCACAUGACACCACUAGAAGAAUAACACCCUAACUUAAAUAUCAAUCAACACAUAUUACUUCAACAUCAUAUGACUACUAGCAUCUAGACUUUUCCGAUGUCCUCAAGAACUAUCGGAACUACUCACAAGACAUAAAAGAGAUCAUGAUCAGAGGUGAUGAAAGUAUGAUUUAUAAUCUGGUCAUAACAAUAAUUCUCCAAAAAAACUCAAUAGCUUUCACCACAAAGGAGUAAUCAACAAUGGUAGAGUAGAAGGGAUGAAUAGUGCAAGGUACAACUCCAAUUGCAAUGGUGAAGUAGAUGGGAUGAAGGUGGAGAUUGUGAUGGUGUUGGUGAUGAUGGUGAUGAUGAUCUCGAUGACGCCCGUGACGAUGGUGAUGACGACGAGGAUGAUCUCCCCUUCCGAGAGGAAUUCUCCCCGGCGGAAUAUGCCCACCGGAAAGGUCUUUUUCUCUAUAGGUUUCCACCGCACAGCGGCGGCGGAAUCGCGAAAACUUUUCUGUCGCCGAAACUUUUAGGUCAAGCGGAACAUAUAGGACAAAGGAGAGCACCGAAGGUUGGGCCCAUCACCCAGCCGGCCUCCUAGCGUGGCCUAGGGGGGGCCCGCCAGCAGGUCGCGUGGGUGACCAGUGGCCCCCCUCCGGCCCUUCUUUGGCAUGUCUUCGGGAUAUGUUCGGAAACUUCUUCCCUCAAAAUUUCACCACAAUUGGAGAUGUUCUGAUAUUGCAACUCUUCGUGCUAUUUUCUUCGCUGAAUCCUGCGUCUGCUAUUUCGGCAUCGGAAAGUUGUAAACUGUGUAAAAUAAGCCAAAACACUAUAAGUACACUAUCAUAAAGUGAAAUAUAUCAAUGAACAGAGACAAAUUAUGAUACAAAAUAGUGAUGCAUUUUGGACGUAUCAAUUCCCCCAAGCUUAGACCUCGCUUGUACCCAAGCGAAUACUGAUCAUGGUAAACGUGUCCAUAAGUUUAGAGAGUGAAGUGUCGAUAAAUAAUAAUACGGACAAGAAGCAUCAUAAUUUCUCUACUAAACUCAACCAUCCUCAACAGCAAUCUCAACUCAUAAGGCCCUUAUGAAAGAGUAAUAUCAAUUACAAUCAAAGGUAGAGCUAAGAAAACUCAUCAAACCAUGGCAAACAUGUCCUUGGUCAAAGAACAACUAGUAACUUUUAACUCUUGUUCUUCCUCUUAUAUUUUGAUGAGAUCAAUUGAAGCUUUUUGAAAGAACAUGUUAUUGGUCAAGAAGUUAAAAUGCUAACACAAAGGAAGAUGUUUUCUUUAGCUAGGCUUAACAAACAACUCACUUAUCUUAAUGAUAAUGUCAAUAAAGGUGUGAUAUGGCAAUUCUCAAUGGAACAAUAUAAAUGCAGGCAUCUUUGUCAACAUAAAGUGUGUGCUCUUUUCUGGAUAGAAAGAAGUAGGUUUACUGACUCAACAUAAAAGUGAAAGAUUGGCCCUUCGCGGAGGGAAGUAGGGAAAACUCAUGUGCUAGAGCUUUUUAGAGAUUUUGAAAUCAACAAACUUGUAAAACAAGCUUUUGAGAGGUGCAUGAUUUGUCAAUGAAUGCUAGUAGAUAGCCCAAUACUUCUCAUGCUAGACAAGUUUUGAGGAACGACUCCCAGAGUGGGGACGAUCACAUCCCCUUAGUCUCCUUUGUUUAUCACUACCAAAGUUUUCUGAUUUCUCAUCAACAAAGCGUGAAGGAGGUUUUGUUUGUUGUUAUUAUAUUUUAUGAGCUGGGCACGCUCAUGCCAGUCCCUUCUGGUAUUAGGGGUUUGUAGAUUAAACAUGCAAACCCAGGAUAAAACUUGUCCAGUAUGAGAAGAUCAUGAAUUAGAUACUACUUCCUCAUGAGCUAAAGCAGAGGCACAAAAUAGGGAGUAAUAUUUCAAGGUUUAAAGAUAGCACAUGAGUAAUAUACUUUAGGAGUGGCAGUGAAAUACCACGUAUAGGGAAGGUAUGGUGGACUCUUGGGAAGGUUGAGGUUUCAGGGUAUGGAUGCACAAGCAGUAUUCCCGCUAAGUGCAAGGGUUGGCUAGCAAAGGCUUUUGAGAGCAGACAAAUAAUAUUGACUUGGAUGUAAAACAAUAUAAAGUUUAACAUAAAGAAUUGCAUAAAACAUCAAAUUGUCUUCCUUGUCAGCAUAACACUUCAAGCAUAAGAACAUACCAGUAGCCAUACCUGAUGUGUAAGAUCAAUACUCCCAUAAGAAUCAACAUAUAAGAUCGAUUGUAUGAAUAGAAUAGCAAGUACAACAAUGAAACCAAUAGACUUCUCAUUAAUAUUCCGUCAUAGACACUUCACACUCACGGAUACAAACUAUCCACAAAGGUGUGAUAGACCUCAAUGCAAACACCUAUUUCAUAAGAUAACUUCCCUAAACAUGAUAUGACACUAAACUUGACCAUAAAAAGUAAAGGAUACAAAAUAAAGAUACCGGGGACUCCCCCAAGCUUGGAACAAGCUAAGGGAAUGCCAUUACCCAUGAAGAUUUCAUUUCUCAUCCUACUUGUUGUUCUUCAAUUCCUCUAUUAUGCGCCGAAGGGUUUUGUUUUCACCUUCCAAUAUGGCCACCUGUACUUUAAGCAUGCAAAAGUCUUCACAGAAUUGGUUAGUGAUUCUGUAAGCUUCGGAUAUAGUAGAUGACACACGUGGAGCUCCUGGUAGAGGGACAAUUUCUGAAAGAUUGAGAGAAAGAUCAUGUUGAAGGUUAAUAAACCCCACGAGGAUGGGGUUGUUAGAGCUGGAUCCUCGUGAUGAAGGGUCUCCUUCUUGCUUGGCGCUGACCAUAUUGACUUCCUCUCUCAUGUAGCACCUCAUCUCCGCUUUCUUGCAGCUAUCUCUUCACUGGUAUCCCAUCCGGUGACCUACCCUUGGUUGAUAUCUUGCUGGACAUGGUGGAGACGACGAGCUGUGUAGUCUUCCCCGCUUGAGUCACAAGAAGGCAUCUCGAACAAUGGCUUCUUAGCCUGGCAGAAAAAUAUCGAAAGAGAAAAUGCACGGAAUCGCAAGAUACAAAGCCGGGAUGAUCCGGGAAAAUAUAUAGGAAAAAUUUCUGCACCAAAAGGAAGGUAACAAGCCAAAGUAGGGUAGCAGACGAACUCCUGGUGGUCCAGCGGCCUCCUGGCGCGGCCAGGGGCUAGCCCGCGCCAGUAGGUCGCCUGGGUGACCUGGAGCUCCUGUCCGGCUCUGCUUCGGCUCGGAAUUUUCCUAAUUUUGCAGAAACACAUAAUACAGAACUUUUAUUGAUGUUCACAAAGUUUCCUUAUCGUAUCUCAUACCUUUUAUUAUUCUACUUCUGCUGAUGUGUGAUACAGUGUUGCAAUAUGUUCUUCGUGAGUGCCUACCUGUAUCACAUCCACCUCUACAUUGAUGGGGUAUCCAGCCAUGUAAUGCUCGAGUCUUUGCCCAUUCACAACAUGUGGUGUUGUGCCUUCAAAAUUAUUAAUCUUGAUUGCACCGGAGGAUUAGACUUCUUCGAUGUGGUACGGUCCUUCCCACUUGGAAAAUAAUUUACGUGGAGAAAACCAGAAACGAGAUUUAUACAAUAAAACUUUGUCACCAACAUUAAAUUCAUGUUUCAAAAUUCUCUUGUCAUGCCACUUCUUUACCUUUUCUUUGAACAUUUCUGCGCUCUCGUAAGCUUCACUUCUCCACUCAUCUAGAGAAGUCAAGUUCAUGAGACACUUUUCACCAGCAAGCUUUGGAUCAACAUUAAGCUCUCUAACGGUCCAGAAAGCUUUGUGCUCUAACAGAAGAGGUAGAUGACAUGCCUUUUCAUAAACCAUCUUAUAGGGAGACAUCCCCAUGGGAUUUUUGUAAGCAGUUCUAUACACCCACAAGGCAUCACCUAACUUAUUGGACCAGUCCUUUCUAGAAUUUUUCACUGUCUUUUGCAAGAUCAACUUGAUCUCUCUAUUUGUGAGCUCAACUUUCCCACUUGUUUGAGGGUGGUAAGGUGAAGCAAUUCUAUGAUUAACAUCAUAUUUUGCUAGAGCUUUUCUAAAAGCCCCGUGUGUAAAAUGUGGUCCUCCGUCGGUCAUGAGGUACCUAGGUACACCACACCUAGGGAAGAUUACAUCCUUGAGCAUUUUCAAAGAUGUCUUGUGAUCAACACUUUCGGUGGGGAUUUCUUCAACCCACUUGGUCACAUAAUCUACAACUACUAAGAUGUGAGUGUACGUGUGUGAAGGAGGGAAAGCACCCAUGAAAUCAAAACCCCACCAACCAAAAGGCUCAAUGACUAGCGAAUAAUUCAUAUGCAUCUCAUUCCUCCUACUAAUAUUACCAACUGUCUGGCACUUAUCACAGGAUAAAACGCAAUUUCUAGCAUCUUUAAAGAGAGUAGGACAAUAAAAAGCUGAUUGGAGAACCUUGUGUGCGGUCCUCUGACCGGCAUGAUGUCCUCCAUAAGGACUGCUAUGACAUUGUCUCAAAAUAUCCUUCUGCUCAUGCUCCAGUAUGCACCUCCUCACAAUUCCAUCUGCACCUUCUCUUAAAAGAUGUGGGUCAUCCCAAAAGUAAUACCUCAAGUCGUGGAAGAACUUCUUCCGUUGCUGGAAUGUUAAACCUGGAGGCAAAAACUUUGCAACAAUAAAGUGAGCAUAAUCUGCAUACCAUGGAUCUGAAUUAGAUUUCACCUGUAAAACAACUAAUUGUUCGUCAGGAAAACUAUCGUUGACUCGAAUGGGAUCAUGUGGUAUGUCCUCCAUCCUGGAAAGGUUGUCUGCUACAUGGUUGUCUACUCCUUUCCUAUCAACAAUAUGCAAAUCAAAUUCUUGAAGAAGAAGGACCCAUCGGAUAAUCCUUGGUUUGGCAUCCUUCUUUUCCAUAAGAUACUUAAUAGCAGCAUGAUGAGUAUGAAUGAUGACUUUAGAAUCAACAAUGUAAGACCUAAACUUAUCGCAAGAAAACACUACCGCUAAAAUUUCUUUCUCAGUACUAGCGUAAUUCUUUUGAGUAGUGUCAAGGGUUUUGCUAGCAUAAUGGAUAACAUUCAAUUUCUUAUCAACCCUUUGUCCUAACACAGCUCCCACAUCAAAAUCACUAGCAUCACACAUGAUUUCAAAAGGCAAAUUCCAAUCAGGUGGUUGGACUAUAGGGGCAAUUAUCAAGGUUUUCUUAAGAACUUCGAAGGCUUCCUUACAAUCUUCAUCAAACACAAAAGGAAUAUCCUUCUGGAGAAGAUUAGUGAGGGCUUUCGAAGUUUUAGAAAAGUAUUUAACAAAUCUCCUAUAGAAACCAUCAUAGCCGAGGAAAUUACGAAUGCCUCUGAUGUCUUUUGGAUAAGGCAUUCUCUUGAUUGCUUCCACCUUUGCCAUGUCCACCUCGAUUCCUUUUUUCAGAAAUCUUGUGUCCAAGAACAAUUCCCUCAUUGACCAUGAAGUCGCACUUCUCCCAGUUGAGUACCAAUUUCGUCUCCUCACAUCUCUGCAAAAAUUUAUUAAGGUUGUGGAGACAAUGGUCAAAAGAGGUUCCAUAGAUGGAGAAAUCGUCCAUGAAGACCUCCACAGUUUCCUCACAAAAACCAUGAAAGAUAGCGGACAUACACCUUUGAAAAGUAGCAGGAGCAUUGCAUAAACCAAAAGGCAUACGUCUAUAAGCAUAAGUACCAAAGGGACAAGUAAAAGUGGUCUUCUCUUGAUCAACAGUGUUAAUAUGAAUUUGAGAGAAGCUAGAGUACCCAUCAAGAUAGCAAAAGUGAGUGUUUCUGGAUAACCUUUCAAGCAUUUGGUCGAUGAAGGGAAGCGGGUAGUGGUCUUUCCUGGUUGUCUUGUUCAGCUUCCUGUAAUCAAUACACAUUCUAUAUCCAAUAAUAAUUCUUUGAGGUAUUAGUUCAUUCUUCUCAUCAGGAACCACAGUCGUACCUCCUUUCUUGGGAACACAAUGUACUGGACUUACCCACUUACUAUCAGCUAUAGGGUAGAUAAUACCUGCAGCUAGGAGCUUGAGGAUUUCGGUCCUCACAACAUCCCUCAUCUUCGGGUUCAACCAUCGUUGAUGAUCAACAAACGGUUUAGCAUCAGGCUCAAGAUUGAUAGUAUGCUGACAAAUAGAUGGACUAAUCCCCUUAAGAUCAUCAAGGGUAUAACCAAUAGCGCCUCGGUGUUUGCGAAGGACUUCCAAUCAUCGCUCUUCCUCAUAUCCUGAGAGGUUAGAAUUGAUAAUAACAAGAUAUACUUUAUUUUCAUCUAGAUAAGCAUACUUAAGCAUACUGGGAAGAGGUUUAAGGUCAAACACCGGGUCUUCUUUUGGUUUCGAUAAAAUUCCCAAAGGAUCAACCAGAAGGUUGUGCUUCAUGAUAGCAGGUUGUCUCAAGAAUAUGUCAUCUAGCUCAUUCCUUUCCUGCAUAUGGAUAUCAUUCUCGUGGUUCUCCAUAAAUUGCUGCAAAAGAUCGUUAGGAGGAAUAGCAAUAGAAGCAAUCUCUUCAAUAAUUUUAUCAUUACUAGGUAGAUCAGUACCACGAGUUUGCUUUGAGAAUUUAGAAAUUUUAAAUUCAUAUGGCUCGCCAUUAAAUUCAACAGCUACUUUUCCUUUCCUACAAUCUAUAAUAGCUCCACAAGUUUUGAGAAAAGGCCUACCAAAGAUAAUAGGGCAAAAACUAUCUUGUACUGAACCAAGUACUAGAAAGUCCGUAGGAUAUUUUACCUUUCCACAUAGAACUUCAGCAUGUCGCACAAUUCCAAUAGGAGAGAUAGUUUCUUUGUUUGCAAGAUGAAUAGUAAGAUCAACUUCUUCAAUUUUACAUGGUAUAAUUUCAUUCAUGAUCUCUUCAUAAAGUGAAAAAGGAAUAACACUAGCACUGGAUCCCAAAUCACAUAGCCCAUAAUAAUUACGAUCUCCUAUUGUAACAGAUACAACAGGAGUACCUGAAAUUGGGCCUUUAUUCUUGGCUGUAACAAGAUUAGUAGAAACAACACAAAAAUUUAUAUUGGUAUCCUCAAUAUUACUAGUAACAAGAUCCUUGACUAAUGAAACUUGAGGAUCUACUUUAAUCAGGUCCUCAUGCUCAUCAGCCGUUCUUUCACUUUUAUUGGGAUGCGUGUGACAAAAGAAUGCUCCCUCAUCCCUGUGGGAAAAGGGGGCGUUUCAUAUUCAACUGCAGGCAAGACAGGGUCAACAACAUUAAUAUCACUGGGUAAUUCCUUAAAAGGUUUAUGGUGUUGAUGCUCCUUCUUCUUAGAAGAGUCAAUAUGAGAGGCGAAGUCUUUGCAAAAAUCAAUUAGAAGCUGGGAAUUAAGACCAAUCUUAGCACAAAAGGUACUGAAGUAAUUAGUUUUCACAUAGCUCUCAAUGUAAUCACGCUCAUAAUUUAUAACGGGUUCAAUACCUUUAUCAAUCUCCCAGUCUUCAGUGUUCUUCUGGAUCCUUUCAAUAAGAUCCCACUUAGCUUCAGUGCUUUUGUGGGAGAACGCCCCACUAGAGGAAGCAUCAAGCAUCUCUUUAUCUUGACGAGAAAGCCUUGCAUAAAAAAUUGUAAGAAUAAUUUCUUUGGAGAGCUCAUGAUUGGGACAUUUGAGCAUUAUGGACUUCAAUCUCCCCCAAGCUUGAGCGAUGCUUUCUACGUCACGAGACCAAAAGUUAUAAAUAUAAUUCCGGUCUCGAUGUAUUUCAUGAAGAGGAUAAAACUUUGCAUAAAAGAGAGGCAUAAGGUCUUGCCAAUUUAGUAAAUGAGAGUCAUCAAGAAGCCUAUACCAAUCCAAAGCCUUAUAUUUCAAUGAUAGAGAGAUUAGCUUUCUCAUAACAAAAUCCAUCGAUAUACCUGCAAGCUUAAAUAAGGAGCAUAGUUGUGAAAGAUAUAGCAAGUGUUCACCUAGAUGUCUAUCUCCUGCAUAUCGAUUAGCCCAAACACGAUCAAUAAUACUAGUUGGUAUUUUAAAAAGGCACAAUUUCAGUACGUGGGGGAGGCUUCUCCACCACAAUAGCGUUGGGUCGGUUCCCCACAAGCAACAAACCAAGAGAAGAGUGGUCCAUAGGGACAAAAAACAAGAAUAGUAAAACAAAAACAGCAUGUACAGUGUAAAGAUUUCCUUACCAAUAGCGCUACACUCCCUCGCAACGGCACCAGAAAAUGGUCUUGAUGACCCACAAGUGUAGGGGAUCUAUCAUAGCCUUUUCGAUAAGUAAGAGUGUCGAAUCCAACAAGGAGCAGAUGGUAUUGACAAGUGAUCUUGAGCAAGGAAUAACUGCAUGUACUGAAAGGUAACUUUUUAUGGGUUUUCUAGUAUAAGCAACAAGGAAAUAAAUGAAAGUAAAGUAAAUCGUGCCAAGGUGCAGAAAGUGGCCCAAUCCUUUUAAACACAAAGGAUAAGCCAAGAGACCGAACUUAUAAAGACUAAGGCGUUCCUGAGGACACACGGGAGAGAUAGUCAAGUGCUUUCGCCAUACUUUGUCUAGUACUAUGUUUUGUAUUGAUAAGUGUUAUGUGGGUGGAUCUUAACUAGUGCACCGUCUAGGCUAAGACAAGUACACACUUAUGAUUAAUCCCUCUUGCAAGAAUCCACAAAUGCAAGAGAGAAAUUAAGGCAAAGCCUAACCAUAGCAAUAAGCUUUAGGAUCCAAUACUCCCUCAUGCAAAAGUAUGCAAACUGGGGUUCAGGUUUGUGUCACUCCGGCAACCCACCAUAAGCAUUAUUCAUACACAAUGUGUUCCCCUAGGCCCUUAAAAAGGUGAAGUGUUAUGUAGUCCACGUUCACAUAAUACCACUAGAAGAAUAAAACCAUAACUUAAAUAUCAAUCAACACAUAUUACUUCAACAUCAUAUGACAACUAGCAUCUAGACUUUUCCCAUGUCCUCAAGAACUGUCGAAACUACUCACAAGACAUACAAGAGAUCAUGAUAGGAGGUGAUGAAAAUAUGAUUAAAAAUCUGGUCAUAACAAUAAUUCUCCAACAAAACUCAAUAGCAUUCACCACAAAAGAGUAAUCAACACCGGUAGAGUAGAGGGGAUGAAUAGUGCAAGGUACAACUCCGAUUGCAAUGGUGAAGUAGAUGGGAUGAAGGUGGAGAUGGUGCUGGUGUUGGUGAUGAUGGUGAUGAUGAUCUCGAUGAUGCCCGGGAAGAUGGUGAUGACGAUGAUGACGACCUCCCCUUCCGGGAGGCCUUCUCCCUGUGACAGCCCGAGACAGAUGCUCCAGAAGAUUCCCCUCUUUUCCGUUGCUGUCGUGUGAUUAUUUUAAUUGUCGCAUGAUCAUCGCAUCAUUUGCAUCAUCCGCAUUGCAUCGGCAUCCGUUGCCGCCAGUUUUCAAAACCUAGCAUCCGUUAUUAGUUGUCGGUUCUCUCCUUUCUCGUCAUUGUCCGUUCUGAGCCCGACCACACUCGCACGAGCCCGCGGCAUCAUUAAAUCAUGUUUUUGAAUGUGUGUAUAAAAUUCAUCUGAAUGGGUUGAAACUUGACAUGCGGUCUUAACUAGUUGUAGCUAGCCGCCUAUCAAAUUUCGUCGCAAUCGGAGUCCGUCUCGUACCCGAACUGUCGACCGUAGCGGCACCGUAUUCGGUCUAUUGUCGGACGUUUUAUCGGUGUUUGAAAAUACAUUGCCGGGUGCCCGUUCUUCCUCUCAUCUCCGGCUAACCUACUCUACACGGCCACUUAGCCCAUCCCGCGUUCGAGAUCGUUUGAUUCCGAUCGUACGGUUGAAACCGGGGCGAAAUUCUGCUAAACCUAGCCCCCCCAUUGUUAUAAAUAAACCCCCAUGCCAUUAUUUAGACAACCACUCUCUCUCCCUCGUUUUCCGUGCAAACCCUAGCCUCCCACCUCUCUCUCCUCCUCAGCCGUCGGGCCCACCAUAGCCCAUCUGGGGCCCGCCCCGGCCCGGAUCGCGCCGCCCCCCCAGCGGGCCCUCCUUCUGCCCGAGCGCCUCCCUGCAGCUGACCUUGCCGCGCGCCACCGCCCGCCAGUCGUCGCGCUGCCCGCGAGCUCCUUGCGCCGCAGGCCAGAUCCGGCCAGCCGCCGCCGGAUCCGGUCGCCUGCACCUUCCGCCGCCGCCUGCCCCUGGCCGAGGCCACCGCCGCGCCCCAACGCCCAGCCUGGCUCCCGCAUGUAGCCCCUGCUCCCGCACUCCCCUAGCCGCGCCGCCCUCUGCCCUUCGUCGCACCACCUCUCAACGCCCCAGCCGACCGGAUCUGCUGCCCCUCGCGCUGUGGAGCUUCCUCGUCGGCCGGAUCCGGUCCGGGAAGCCGCAUGUCUGCCGCCUUGCGCGCCGGCGCCGCCAGGUCCCCGUGACCUCGGGCACGGGAGGAGACUACGAGCAAGCCUCGCUCGUCCUACCGCUCGGUGCCGUGUGGGCCGCCUCGCACCCCAGGCGCAGCUGGCCGCGCCAGCGCCGCACCGGCCUGCAAGGCCUCGUGGCCCAUCUCCAAGCGCCACCCUCGGCCCAAGGAGAGGCCUCCCCUCGUUUAUCCCUCGCUCGAGCGAGGUUUAGUUAAAUCGCGCCAUGCCUCUGUUUGGGCCGUGUUGCAAAUCGGCCCGUAGAUGUUUUCUUUUAAAAGGCUGAGAUUUUUUUUCCACAUAAAUAGCUGAUUUUACAGCGCGUGUAGUUUAUUAUCCGUGCGUCGGAUCAGAACGAAUUAUAUAUGAAUCUUGUGUAGUUUUUCGCGUAGAUUCAUAAUUAGCAACUUGCAUGCAUGUUUGAAUUAGUUUGACUUGCCGAAUGCCUAGUUUUGCGUGCUUUCCUAAUAGGGACUUACCGCGUAUUAAUUUUCGUGCGUGUCCGGAUUGCUCAAAUCUCGUAGUUUAAAUGCUCAUGUUUUUAGGGACCUUUUGCCAUGUAUUUUAGAGUAGUUGUUUGUAUUUUUGCAUGUAGGGUUACGUCGCUAGUUUGCUACAUCAUGUUUAGGACAUCUUCUCGCAUAUUCGUGUGGCGAUAUUAUUAUUUUGCAACCCCACAUGUUAUAUAUGUUUUCGGGGUAGAAAAAUCCAUAGAAUUUAACUGUGUAUUUAGUUUUAGCUUUUUAGCAAGUUAGUGCGCGUGAUAUUUUGCCAUGUUGCCAUUUUAUUUAUUUUGUGUGAUUUAAUCCGUGCAUGAUUUGAAUGAGUUGUCAACUAGAGAUUUGUCCUUGGAUAUGUAUGCUAGCCCCUGGUAAUUUUGGCUGCAAUGGAAAUCCAUGUUUAGGUGUAGUUUGCUUGUUCUAAACUUGCUAGAAAAUAAUGCUAAUUUGGAGAAGCUGAAAUAUUUCUAAGUCUGAAAUCUAUUAUAUUUUGUUGCUGUCUUGUCAUGAGUUUAUCUGGUGAUCUGUAGCUCUUCUGAGAUUGAUGCAAUGGAGUUAGUUGUAGCCCUUAAGAUUCUCCACCAUGCUGUCAAUUUUCAUGCCAUUUGGAGCCCUUUAGAAUAUGGUUUUGAUGCUGUCAAAAUGCCUUCAGAUCAAAAACUGCACUGUCAAAAACUGAUAUUUUCACUAAGUCUGGAACUGUGUGUGAGAAGCCAUUUUGCGAGUUCCUUUCCUAGUGAUCCAUGCUUCCUUGGUAGGUGUUAUUAGUUGUAUGUUGUAGUGCUUCUUGCCCUCUACUGUCUCAUGCCUUGUUUGAGCAUUUGAGUUUUGUGUAGCUAGUUGUUCGAGGGUGUAGAAAAUGUUAUGUGGCUGAUUUUGGCAGAUUAUGUCUAUUUCUUGUGUAGCUUGUAAUUGUUGAACCGUUGCUCCGUUUUGAUCGUGUCCUACAUGAAACUUGCUCAGAAUCUUUUUUAGUUUCAUAUUAGCUCGCUGGUUGUAUGUUUUGAAGUGUUGUGGCUGCCAUUUGCACACAUAUCGCAUUCAUGCCAUCAUAUCUUGCGGUGUUCGUAUCUUUUGAACCGAAGAUCCGUUGGAGAUGUUCUCUAUGUGUAAAUUGAUUGGAACAACGCGUUGAAUCACUUGAACCUAUUUAUUUUUCUGUUUAACAAACAUUUAAACGUGUGAGAUCAGAUCUGGACAGAAUUACAAAUUAACAUAUGGGGUCAUCUCGGAGAUGUUAUAUGUUGUUUCCCACCUCAUUGCAAAUCACUAGAUAGAUAGCUUAAUUACGCUUCAUCUCGUGCCAUGUUUAAGCAAAUUUAAUAAUGUCGUGUACCUAAUCGCGAUAGAACUAAAUAAUCAGUAUGUGGAGUUUCAUCAAUAUGCAACUCGUUGCAUAUUGAACUUCACUUAAUGUGUAGUGUUUGAUUGUUGAGAAUUGCCAUGUCAUGUCUUCAAUAUAUAUUCAACUGGUCAUGCAUCAUAUGUGGAUUGCAUCUUGUCGUGCAUGUGCAUGGUGAAUAUCGUGCGCUGAUUCUUGUUUCCGGUUUGCUUCGUCUCGAUAGAGUUCCGCAAGCAUGUCGGAAAGUGAGGACCCAUUCGACUACAUCGGUUCGUCUGCUUCACGGACUCAUUCUUCUUCCAAGCGGGUUCUCAGGCAAGAUGACCAUUUCCCCAGAUACCAUUACUAUCAUUACCAUGCUAGUAUUAUCGUUUUUGUCGCUAUGUCUCGUUGCCUACCACAUGUUAAAUAUCAACCUCCCAACAUUGCCAUGAAAACCUUCAACAUGUUCACAACCUAGCAAACCACUGAUUGGCUAUGUUACCGCUUGCUUAACCAUGUGUUAGCAUUGCUAGUUGCAGGCGCAGUUGCUUCCAUGUGAUAACAUGGGUUCUUUGUUUUAUCAUCUUAUUAAUUCUAUUUGAUUUAAAGAAAAUAUAUACUUGGUAAAAGGUGGAAGGCUCGGCCUUUCUAGCCUGGUGUUUUGUUCCACCUUUGCCCCCUUAGUUUCGGCUACCGGUGUUAUGUUCCAUAAUUGAGCGCUCCUAACAUGAUAGGGGUUGUUAUGGGGACCCCCUUGAUAAUUCGUUUUAGAUUAAGACCGGUCUGGAAAGGCCCAACAUUGGUUUUACAUUGGCCUAAUAACCUAAUAAAAUUGCAUAGGGACUUUCCGGACCCCGAGGAUAAUUAAUCAACCCCCGGGCCAGUGCUCCGCAUGAGUGUUGGUCCAAACUGGCAGACUACGGGGCCACCGCGGGGCAACCCGAGGUUUGGUUUCUCUUAGUGUGACCCAUCCGUCGUGUCCUGAGAACGUGAUACGAAGCUCCUAUCGGGUUCGUCGACACGUCGGGCGGCCUUGCUGGAUUAGUUUUACCUUUGACGGAAUAUCUUGUGCAUCGGGAUUCCGGUUAGUUGAGGUUUUCCACUAAGGAGUCCGACGAGAUCGCGAGCUUCGUGAUCGAGGAUUUCUAUGCGCCUUGUGGUAAUUUAUGAUGGACUAGUUGGAGCACCCCUGCAGGGUUAAUCCUUUCAGAAAGCCGUGCCCGCGGUUAUGUGGCAACGUGGAAACUUUGUUUAACACUGGUUCUAGAUAACUUGAAGUUAACUUAAUUAAAAUAUGCCAACUGAGUGCGUAACCGUGACUGUCUCUUUUGUUAGCUCCUUCUCCGAUCGAGGACACGGUGGGGGUAUGUUUGACGUAAGUAGGUGUUCAGGAUCAUUCAUUUGAUCAUCAGUAGUUCACGUUCUCUAUGCGUAGAUCACACCCCUCUGUAUUCUGGUACUCGUAAGUUAGCCACAUCAAACAAAUGCUUAGUUGCUUGCCGCAGCCUCACCACUUAACCAUACCUCACCCAUUAAGCUUUACUAGUCUUGAUACCUUUGGAAUGAGAUUGUUGAGUCCCAUGUGGCUCACAAAUUACUACAACACUAGUUGCAGGUACAGGUAAAGGUUACUUGACGCGAGCGCGUUGAUUGUUCAUUUGGAGUU
rnacentral:lncRNA from 1 species